rnacentral:lncRNA from 1 species
UGAUUUUCGUGGCAUGGUACAAUGUAAUACUACAUGGUAAGAAAUAACAUGUCAUUUCUACCUCAAGAUGGAGCUACAUGUUACAAUAUAUAGUAUAUAUACGCCCCCAUCACGCAAAAUUUAGGGGCGCACUCCACAUAUAUCAAAAACAUGUACCGGGCUGUCUAUGACCGACUGACUGACUCUAAACCAAUACAACCGAGGACGCUCAACGAUGACCUUGUAGAGAUCUGAACGAACCGUUUGCCGAUUUCAGACAAUUUCCACCCCUCCACCUAUGUUCUCCAGAAAAGGAAAACCCAAAGAAUGACUCACUGUAAGCAGCAUGAACAGAUUGGCUGUCCAAGCCCACUUGCAAAAAAGAACUCUCCACCUGAGACUGAGUCAUAGCAGUAUCCCCAAAAAAUGUUGUUUGUCACCUCUUGCUCCACAUUCAUCUUGUCCCUAACUACUCACUGAUCCAUGAGUAGGUCACCAGAUACAUAUUGUCUUACUCGGACACCCUCUCGUAGAAAAGGAUGUAAGCCUCGCAGUUGAGAACCUCCUCCAGAGAGGUUUCUCUGACGUGUGAAUCGCUCGCGUAAAACCAAGACUUGGAGGAGCGGCUCUGCUGCUGCCGACCCCCUAUCUUGCCAGAUCUUACAUAUGCAACAUAAUGCCCCCCUGUCAUGCUUCCCAUGUGCUCGACAACAGCUACCAGCCGAUAAGUGGUGAUGUCAUUAUCCUUGGAUCUGCGUAUUAAGGAAAACAGUUAAUUUCCAAAGCAUACAAUCCAAUUUUAAAGUCCGUAAAUGACUCUCUCUGCCCAUAAAUCACAGAUACGAAUGGUGCACAAUAGGUCCCUAAACUUAUGCGGGCAUGUCACUUGGGUUCUAAACUUGAGAUAACACAUAUAAGCAUACUAAACUUGAGAGCUACACAUGUAGGCACCUACACUUGUACAAGUGUGUAAACAGAAUAACAAAUUAGAUCAACUAGAACAAUAUUUGUUGUAUAUAUGCUGAAAAAUGACAAUACUAAAACCCAGUUUGAGUCCCUUAGUGUAGACACAAACUGGUGAGCAGUCAAUACAGCUUACCGUAUAUGCCUUCGAAUCUAAAUCAUAUAUGUAACCUCCAGAUUCACAUUGAUUAUGAAAAGAUUUCAUGCAUUCUGCUUUCUUUCAGGAUAUGGACAUGGCAGACUUGAAUCAGAGAAUAAGAUCGUAAACAAUGUGUAGAAAAAAUAUCUGCGGAGAAUGUUCUAGGGUUUUACAGCCAAUGAAUCGUCAUCAUAUAAUAUUUAAUUAUUUAUCUUUUCAGUUCUCUAUGUUGACAAGAAACAUAUCUAUGAUUAAAAUAAGAGCAUUCUGUUCUAUCAUUAUUAAAGAAAGAUCCACCAAAGUAAACAAGUGGGGAAAGGAAUAGUGUCAAAUUUUAUCUAGUCAUAUCAUUGUGGCAAAAUCCUACAUGCAAUUGCUACUUUAGCAAGCCAUGGACAGACAGUGGUGCCCCCUUGUGGCUACUAGGAACUACAGCUGCAGGCAAGCAGAAAACUGUUGGGUUGAUUUUAUUUUGGCAAAUUCAACUGAGUUAGAAAAAUCAGUACCUUGGGUCCAUGUACGGUCGUAUAUCGAGUGUCUCCUUAAAGCGCACAUGCCCUUUCAGUUUCCUGAACCGACCAUGAGAGUCAUGGCUGAAUCUGUUCAAAGUAAUCGUCAAUACAGGCGGUGCCUUGCUGAUAAGAAUUCUUCUCAUUGCAGCUCUGAAAACCUUUGUUUCAUCCUCUUUCUGUUUAUUUUGGUUAUCUUGUCCUUUGUGUGCCUUGACAACCACCUUCAUUCUCUUCCUCCUUCCGAUAUUCCUUGUGAAGCCAUCUUCAUUAUCUUUGGCGCUCGGUAAGAUGCUUUGCGUCUCAGGUGGAAGGCUACUAGUCACAACUUCUUCAGCAUUGGCACCACCAGAUUCAACCUUUUUGUCGCUAGUAGUACUGCAAGAGGCCGAGUCAUUGUCGCCACAACUCACUGGUGCACUCGUUUCUUCAGCGGCUACAUCCACAUUAUGACCAUCGUUAUGCUGCGCAAAGUCAUGCGGUUGCUUACUGGAAGAUGUAAAUUCCACUGCUGAGCUGUUCAAAUCCCUACACUCCUGGUGGUAUGUUUUACUGUCUGGCUGCUCAGUAGUGUCAACGUCUGGAGAAUUACCAUCAGAGGUGUUUUCAGCAUCAACCAAAGAAGGAUUUGCACACACCCCUUCGUUACAGCACAUGUCAGGAUUUACAUUGACAGAGCAACCAUCAGUUGCCAUAAUCUGAUCAAUGUCCUCUUUUUUGCUGCAGCUCGGGACCUUAUCAUCAACAUGUUUUUCAUCACCACUUGCCAUCAUCUCCGCACUGUCCUUUCUAUCAUUGGCACUAGCUGCCGUCUCCUCACCCUCUUCUAAUUCAUUGGUGUUUGGCUGUGCAACAGCGAUAGAACAAUGCUCACAAUGCCAAGAUUCCGUUAGCAGCUCUGGCUCAGUAUACAAUGACAAGCAGCCCUCAACUGAUACGGGAGCAUUACUAUCAUCCACUUCAUCAUCAGCACUAUUGCUACUCCAAGCCAUCACAUCAAUAUCUCCAGUUGUGCCAGUUUCUUUCUUAGCAUCAGAAGUUAUUUCAGGCUCACCAAACAUAUCACCGAUACCAAAACAGUCAUCUUGUUCCCCAUCUCCGCCAUAUAACGGCUGUGUGUGAUUUUCUGCUGCUAGAUAAUCAGCUGGAUGAGGACCAAAAACUAUUGGAUUCUGUGAGCUUUCUGCAGUUUCAUAUAUUUCUUCAGCAGUGGUGUCAAAUUCUUUGUAAGGAAGCAAGAUCACAGUCUGUAAACAAGUUGCAUCAUCAACAAUGUUCUCACCUGAGGGAUCAGAAAUCAAGGCCUGCUCUUUGGGCAAGGCAUCAUCUCCACUGUGAAAUGAACCAUGUAUGGCAUCGUUGCUGUUCCAGAUCUGUCCUGCUCCAGUCGAACAUGCAGAAUCAAGAAUCUCAGACUUCGUUUCAUCUGCAUCAGCAAGAUAAUCUAACCAGGAAAUGUCAUCCUCCACAUUAGAAGUGGCCUUCAGCUCUUGGUUGGGAACAGAAGCACAUGACUCACUGCAUUCAGAGGGCUCAUGUUCUUUCUCACUGACAACCUGUCCUAACUCUGAACCUGGAAUCUGGGAAUCAUUGCCUUCAGCAAUUGUUUGUACUUGUUCUUUGCUGCUCUCCGCUAUUGCAGGAGACACUCGGGUAGGAACCUUUCCAUAUCUGCGAUUUUUGUUCCUAUCUCGUAUAGACUGCUUGGUCCUCUUUGCUGGUGGUGAUGAAACACUCUUGGCUGGAGGUUUCCUUGAUGGAACUGGUAGCGAGAGAUCAAGGAAUUGGUCGUGCUUAACAGAUCCGUGUGUGCAUUCUGUGCUGGAGACAGUACUAGACAGCUGACCCCCAAAGAUGGAGUCAACAAUUGUAGGAACCCCAGCAGCACUGGAAGCAUCCUCCGCUGCCUUCCGCGCUUCAGUUUCCUCCGUGCCUAAACCAUCAAGAAAACAGCGGAGCAAUUCAUGACUGUCCUGCAUCUGGUAGCCUUUGAACUGAGGGUAUUUCGAGCAAAUACUUGAGAAGAGGCUCUUUGGGCUCAGUGCACCUCCUGCAUCAUUUGAAGCACUCGUUUCCACAAACAACUUCUUCAGUGACAUAGCAAUGGCUCCUAUUGGAACAUCUGGUCCUAGCAUCUUGCUGCGAAACUUAUCAAGCGCUAGGAGGCUCUGCAGCACUGCAUUGAAGAAACAUGUAUUUCCAAGAUUCGGCAGCCCUUUAAUCACAUUACCAUGGCUAUUAGCCAAAACCAAUGCAUUGCUCUCCACCGCACCAAGAACCACCUUCUCAACGGCUGGCGCUGCUACAACUGUCUCCACUACAGGCAGCUCGAUGGACACCUCAUUUUCGCAUGACAAGCAAUAAGCGAUGGUUUGUUUAUCAUAGCGUGCAGCCCACCAGUGCCGGUCCUGCUUGGCAUGCCUUCUGGCAUGGCCGUAUGGCUUGGUAUCUGACACGGCGCCGCCGCAGAAGUGCCGGCCGCAGUCCAAGCAGACCCACAAAUCAUCAUUCUUCUCCGCCUUGGCCUGCGUCUUGGCAGCAGCGCCUUUCUUCUUCUGCUGCUUACCGCCUUUCUCCUUGCCACCCCCGCCGCCUUUCUUCCGGGGGGCCUCCUCCCGGCAGUGCUCACACGACGCGAGAUGCUUGGCAGACACGAUCUCCCGUAGGACCUUGUCCAAGUGGCGACUGUCACGGCUGUAGUGGCCGCACUGCUCCCAAUCGCCGGCCGAGACAGCCGCUUCCUCGACGUCCUGCGAGGCCUCGUCGCCGGAUCCAGCAUCGGCCAGCGGCUCCCGCUGCUGCGCCUUCUUCGCCUUGGCCUUCACCUUCUUCCCCAUCUCUCCUGAAACACACGGAUCCAAUCAAGCCCAAGGAAGAUACCAGCCGACAGCUACACGGCCGCCGUGGGCGGAUCCAGAUGGGGAAAUUUCUGGAGUUCGGCGGGGUUUAACAACUAACCGGUGGAGGACGGGAUGGUCAUACCUCAGGAAUCAACCAAUGCUCGAAAUCGGGGACGGAGUUGGGGCAGCAGGGACGCGGCGAGGCGGGACGGGAAGCGGCGGCGGCGGCGACGCGCGGGAGAGGCGGGGGCGCGCUGCUCGGGGGCGGAGGCUUCGUCGGCAGUGGAGCUAAGCUACGACGGCGCGGCGGCAGCUGUGGCUAGGGCAGGGAGAUGCUUCAGGGCCGGCGCCGCACUGGGUGGGAUUGGGGGCACGGAGAGGAAAAGGAAGGUGUGCCGAUACGCCACGGAACUCUGAAUACGAGUCGGGGUAUGAACAAUCUGUCGUAAUCUUUUCGGCUACGAAAAGACUUAAAGGCUUACCCCUCCGUUUUAUGCCUCCGUUCCAAAUUAUUCGUCACAGAAAUGAAUAUAUCUAAAAUUAAAAUACAUCUAGAUACAUUCAUUUCUGCGACGAGUAAUUCUUAACGGAGAAAGUAUAAUAUAAGAGCGUUUUUGACAUUAAUGUAAGUAAUUCAUUAGACGAUACACGAAUGCGGAAUCAGUUGCAAUAUAGGAGUAGAUUUGAUUGUAUCCAAUAUGAAUAUUCAAGUUAAUAAUAUAUGAACUAAAAAAUACAUAUGAUAUAUAGUGUUUUUUUAGGAUAUGAUAUAUAAUGUUAAUGUAUAAAUGUGUUGUCUAGUCUUUUUUAUCGUAUUGAUUUUUUAAUUGCAUUGGCUAGAGCACACUUUUAUAUGGUACAGAGGAAAUCAAUUCUUUCGAGCCCACCCACCCUUCUUCCGCUGCCAUGGACACUAAUCCUCUAGCCUCCCCCCUCCCCCACUCCUCUGAUGAUGAUGCACCAGCACCGGGCGGCGUCCUCCAUGCUGCCUCGGUGAGCGCCCCUCCUGCGCCCCCGGCCACCCCAGCGCCAUCGCCCGCUCCUGACGUGUUCCCCUCGUCCGUCCUGUAGAUGAUCGACAUCCGUCACCACGUCUCCAUCACCCUGGACCUGCACGCCGGCAACUACGCGCGGUGCCGUCACUUCUUCUUCACCAUCGUGGGCAUGUUCGGUGUCCACGACCACCUCGUCGCCCCGGCUGUCACGUCGCUCCCCGAAUGGGUCAUGGUCGACCACUACGUCGUGCAUUGGAUUUAUGCCACGAUCAGACGACACUACUGGCGUCCUCUGGGCCGCCAUCGAGGAGAUCCCCUGCGACAAUCAGCUCUCCCGCGUCGUGUACAUCGACGCGGAGUACCACGCCGUGGUCCAGGGUGACCUGACGGUGAUGCAGUACUUCACGGGCGUGGAGUCCUUCACCGACCAGCUUCGCGACCUCGGGCAGCCGGUCGGCGACGUGCGGCAGUUGUUCCACAUGCUACGCGGCCUCAAGCGUCAGUAUCAUGGUGCAAUCCCGCAUCUCACCGUGCGUAAUCCACUGCCCACCCUUCUACAGGCACGCUCCUUCCUCCUGCUGGAAGAGCACCAUGCGGAGCAGGCUACUCGCCUGUAGUCUGGUCACGCGCUCAUCGCCGCGCGUCCACCGGCCGCCCCUGCAGCUCCACCUGCUCCCUCCGACAGGAAAACGGGGCGUGGGCGUGGUCCCAACCGUCGCCGCGGAAGCGGCAACGAGGGGGGCACAUCGUCUUCAUCUUAGUCUCCAGCACUGCCUCCUCCGCGUUCGGCUACCCUACCAAGCCAGGCUCCAGGCACCAACUCCUGGAUCGGCAUGGUGCAAGCCUGGCCCAUGUCGUGGCGCGCACCCGGCGUCGGCUGAUGCGGCUUGAAGCUACGCCGGUAUUUCCCCAAAGAGAAAGGGAUGAUGCAGCAUAGCGAUGUUAGGUAUUUCCCUUAGUGAUGAAACCAAGGUUAUCAAACCAGUGGGAGAACCAAGCAACAACAUGUAAACGGCCCAUGCACACAAAUAACAAAUACUCGCAACCCGUCGUAUUAAAUGGGUUGUCAAUCUCUUUCGGGUAACGGCGCCAAAAAUUGGCAAACAGGCGUGAAUAAAUUGUAGUAGAUUGAUAGAUCGAACGCCAAAUAAAAUAAAUAAGAAUAAAUUGCAUCAAGGUAUUUUUGGUUUAAUAGAUCUGAAAAUAAAAGGCAAAUAAAAUAGAUCGCAAAGGCAAAUAAUAUGAGAAAGAGAUCCGGGGGCCGUAGGUUUCACUAGUGGCUUCUCUCGAGAAAAAUAGCAAAUGAUGGGUAAACGAAUUAUUGUUGGGCAAUUGAUAGAACUUCAAAUAAUCAUGAUGAUAUCCAGGCAAUGAUCAUUAUAUAUGCAUCACGUUCAAGAUUAGUAGACCGUCUCCUGCCUACAUCUAUUACUAUCACUCCACACAUCGGCCGCUAUCCAGCAUGCAUCUAGUGUAUUAAGUUCAUGGAGAAACGGAGUAAUGCAAUAAAAACGAUGACAUGAUGUAGACAAGAUCUAUUUAUGUAGAAAUAGACCCCAUCGUUUUAUCCUUAGUAGCAAUGAUACAUACAUGUCGGUUCCUCUUCUGUCACUGGGAUCAAGCACGUAAGAUCGAACCCACUACAAAGCACUUCUUCCCAUUGCAAGAUAAAUAAAUCAAGUUGGCCAAACAAAACCCAAAUAUCGGAGAAGAAAUACGAGGCUAUAAGCAAUCAUGCAUAUAAGAGAUCAAAGAAACUCAAAUAAUUUUCAUGGAUAAAAAGAGAUAGAUCUGAUCAUAAACUCAAAGUUCAUCAGAUCCCAACAAACACACCGCAAAAGAGUUACAUCAUAUGGAUCUCCAAGAGAUCAUUCUAUUGAGAAUCAAACGAGAGAGAGGAAGCCAUCUAGCUACUAACUACGGAUUCGAAGGUCUACAAAGAACUACUCACGCAUCAUCGGGGUGGCACCAAUGGAAGUGGUGAACCCCUCCAUGAUGGUGUCUAGAUUGGAUCUCGUGGUCCUGGACUCUGCGGCGGCUGGAAAUGAUUUUCGUCGACUCCCCUAAGGUUUAUGGAAUAUUGGGGUAUUUAUAGAGUAAAGAGGCGAUCCGGGGGGCACCCAAGGUGGGCAAAACCCACCAGGGCGCGCCUGGGCCUCCAGGCACACCCUGGUGGGUUGUGCUCCCCUCGGAGCAGCCCCCAGGUGCUUCUUCGGUCCAUUGGUUGUAUUCUGGUCCAAAAAUCCAUAAAAAGUUUCGCUGCGUUUGGACUCCAUUUGGUAUUGAUUAUCUAUGAUGUAAAAAACAUGCACAAAAUAGCAACUGACACUUGGCACUAUGUCACUAGGUUAGUACCAAAAGAUGAUAUAAAAUGGCUAUAAAAUGAUUAUAAAACAUCCAAGAUUGAUAAUAUAACAGCAUGGAACAAUAAAAAAUUAUAGAUACGUUGGAGACGUACCACCGGCAUCCUUGGUCCAUGAUCUGGCGUCCCACAACAGCAGGUGUUCUUCACAUAUGACUCGCCCGGCGCCAACUCCAGCACAGCGCCCCUGCCGCCGUCGCCCUACGGGUACGACACUUAUCCUUCCAUCCUCCCCGACUUCACCUAUGGCUCGCCGGGCGCCAGUUCUAGCGCGGCGCCCCGCCAUCCCAACCAUGGGACAUGGGUGGUCUACAGACGGCACUCCAGGCGCGCACACCUCGCAGUCGCCACCUUCCAGCACCUCGGACUAGUACAUGGACUCCAGGGCGUACUCGCACAUGACCUCCAACCCUGGUACUCUCCAUUCCCUUCGGCCUUCCUUUUCUCCUCGUGACAUUAUCGUCGGCAAUGGCGGCCACCUGCUGAUCACUCACACCAGGCGCGGCACGCUUAUCGCCAACAACUCGUCCUUAGAGCUUCACAAUGUUUUGCUUUCUCCUUCGAUCAUUACUAAUCUCCUCUCUGUUCAUCGCCUCACCCGCGACAACCCUGUUUCUGUGGAAUUUGUCUCUUUUGGGUUUUCUGUUAAGGAUAUCCUCAUCCGCCUGGUGAUCUGCUACCUCUUGAGCAUGCGUUGGUUUUCCCUUGAAGAGGAAAGGGUGAUGCAGCAAAGUAGCAUAAGUAUUUCCCUCAGUUUGUGAGAACCAAGCUAUCAAUCCAGUAGGAGGCUACAUGCAAGUCACCUAGUACCUGCACAAACAAACAAGAACCUCGCAACCAACAUGAUAAAGGGGUUGUCAAUCCCUGCACGGUCACUUACGAAAGUGAGAUCUGAUAGAGAUAAUAAGAUAAAUAUUUUUGGUAUUUUUGUUGCAUAGAUUGAAAAGUAAAGAUUGCAAAAUAAAUAGUAAACUAGAAUUAUAGUCGGAAACUUAUAAGAUGUAAAGUAGACCCGGGGCCCAUAGGUUUCACUGGUGGCUUCUCUCAAGAUAGCAUAUAUUACGAUGGGUGAACAAAUUACUGUCGACCAAUUGAUAGAAAAGCGCAUAGUUAUGAUGAUAUCUAGGCAUGAUCAUGAACAUAGGCAUCACAUCCCUGUUAAGUAGACCGAAAUGAUUCUGCAUCUACUAAUAUUACUCCACACAUUGACCGCUAUCCAGCAUGCAUCUAGAGUAUUAAGUUCAUAAGAACAGAGUAACGCAUUAGGCAAGAUGACAUGAUGUAGAGGGAUAAAAUCAAGCAAUAUGAUAUAAACCCCAUAAUCCCCAAGUGCAGGGAAUCAUCGUAGAAAUUUCCAAAGGUGGAAGUGAUAAGUAUGGAGCGUUGAACCCACAAGGAGCUAAAGGUAAGAUCAAUAUUCUCUCAAGCCCUAUCUGCCACUGAUAUGACUCUACGUACACUGAACGUUUGCUUCCAACUAGAAGCGAGAAAUAAAACUACGUUGUGGGUAUGAAGUGGAUAACUUUGUAUGAGAUCGGAGAGCUAAAAUAUGAAAAUAGGUGCUAUUAUCAUAAAGUUAGAAUAUAUUACUCCCUUCGUUCCUUUAUAUAAGGUGUAUUUGUUUUUUGAUGAAAUUCCAGAAUGUAAGGUGUAUUUCUUCCAAUUCCACAUAAUUCCCUUGUUAGCCCUCCAGAAAAAGGGAAAGAAUCUCUCUCGUGAUUGUCUGUAUCUCUCCUUGUAGCAAAACAAGGAAACUAUCUCUCUUUCGAUUGCAUAUAUCUCAUACUUUUCUCGACUAACUGAUUUACUUGCCACUAACAAAUAAAUUUGCCAAGGGUAAUUUCGUCCUAACAUGUCUAUAAUUAUGUGCCUUGGUCACCGUGUCGAAAAUAAUACACCUUACAUAAAGGAAUGGAGGGAGUACUAAAUACUAUAAAUAGCGAGUGUGGAAUAAUGGUGGAUCGGUGUGCAGAAUUGUCCUAGGCAAUUGUUAACAAGACCGAUAGUCAUCAUGGCAAUUUCAUAUGAGGGAGAGGCAUAAGCUAACAUACUUUCUCUUCUGGGAUCAUAUGCACUUAUGAUUGGAACUCUAGCAAGCAUCCGCAACUAUUAAAGAUCAUUAAGGUAAAACCCAACCAUAGCAUUAAAGCAUCAAGUCCUCUUUAUCCCAUACGCAACAACCCCCUUACUCGGGUUUGUGUUUCUCACUCACGCAGCCCACUAUAAGCGAAUCAUAAACGUAUUGCAACACCCUACAGCGGGAAUCCCUCACGCUUGCGCGACACGGAGGGCACCAUAGGAUAGCACCAAAAUAAAACAUCACUACAAAAAAAAGACACAUCCGUGACAUUUUGGGCCGAACGAAUUUUUUUUUCUGUCAUACAUAUGACACUUCUAUGACGAUAAUUGUGACAAAACCCGGUAUCAUCAUAGAUGUGGUGGGCUCCUACUUCUAUGACAAAAAAUCAUGAUAGAAAAUGGGCUUUUCGUCCUGGGCGGGCCGGAGACGCAGCUGCAUGACAUUCUUUGGGCCGUCCAUGAUGAAAAAAACCGUGGUAGAAGCGAGGGGGAGGAAAAUUUCGGGGAGUUCUCGGUUACGGUGGGAGGUCGGGGGCCGAGCGAUGCGCGUUUCUCUCAUACAUGUACGCGCGUGUGUGCGAGGCGUUGGCUCUAACUAAACCCGAGCGAGGCGUUGGGCUCUAACUGAACCCGAGCGAUUGCACUGCAGGCUACGUGUUACUGAACUCGAGCAAUCGAUCGAUGGUUGUUAACUGAACCCGAUCGAGCGAUUCCUUGGCUACUGCUGCUAACUGAAGCCGAUCGAUGGGAUGAACAGCAAGCAUUGCAGGGGGGUGGGGUGAGGUGGAUGAACAAUGAGCGGUGGCGUUGCCUCUGGAUGAACAGGACCCCGUGGUGUGGUGGAGGGCAGGAUGAACAGUAGACGGUGGAGGGGUGCCCGUGGAGUCCCGUUUUUGCCCGGACGCACUUCCUUGCGUGCGAAGGUGUAGCUGGUGGGUCCCAGCAGUCAGGGGGGAAAUGCUUUUUUCAUGAAAUAUGGUGGCCCGUCCGGUGGGUCCCUGCUGUCAGGUGGAGGAAUCAUUAUUUUCCUCGUAAUAAGGAGGCACUUCCUUGCUGCCGCCGUGGACCCAACUGUCAGCCUCUCCACGUACAGUCCACGUCUGAUGGAAGUCGUUCCUUGACCACGUUGACCACCCCACGCCAAGAGCACCAGGGCGAUGGAGGACGGCGAGGCCUAGUAAGGGGACGACGGGGAGCCGAGGAAGGCGCGGCAGUGGAAGCCCCCGCGCGCGCGGAGAGGGGUACGAGGGUUCACUGGUUCGACUGCGGUGUGAGGCUGCCGUCGCCGCAGGGCCUGGCCAGCGGUGGCAAUAGUAGGGGGCGGUGAGGCCUCCACGGCAGCACAGCCGGCCACGGGAGGCAGGAGCAUGCGGCACGACCGGCGCUGCUUUGGGCGGCUGGAGCAAGAAGACCAGAGAUUGAAGAAGCACUACGGCCGUUGGAUGGACAUCAUACGAUCAGUGGAGCUAGAAUCGUUCAUAUUGACUAAAGUUGACAAAGGCCCCCGUCCCAGUCAACUUAGUAGGCCCACAAGUCAGCCUCCCACCAUGGUGGGUCCCGGCUAGCAGGGGAAGUAUUCAUUUUUUUUGUGCGUAAUAAGGAGGCACUUCCGGUGGGUCCGAGCUGACAGCGGGGGGAAUGUUUUUUUCGCGAAAUACGCUGGCCCAUCCGGUGGAUCCGUGCAGUCAGGGGGAAACGUCUUUUUUCGUGAAAUAAGGUGGCCCGUCCGGUGGGUCCCUACUGUAAGGUGGAGGAAUAAUUAUUUUGCACGUAAUAAGGAGGCACUUCCUUGCGGCCGCCUGGACCCAGCUAUCAGCCUCUCCACAUACAGUACUUUUCCGAUGAAAGUCGAUUGUUGACCACGCCGCGCCGAGAGCACCAGGGCGGUGGUCUGGACGACGGCGAGGCCUAGGAAGGGGACAAUGCGGAGCCGGGGAAGACGCAGCAGUGGAAGCCCGCGCGGAGAGGAGUACGAGGGUUCCCUGGCGUUGCCGCAGAAUAACAGGGGGUGUGGGUGAGUAGAGGGAUGGCCUGGCCAGCGGUGGGAGUAGUAGGGGCGGUGAGGCCUUCGCCUCAUCGCAGCCGGCCACGGGAGGCAGGAGCACGAUGUUGGAAAUAUGCCCUAGAGGCAAUAAUAAAUUAGUUAUUAUUAUUAUAUUUCAUUGUUCAUGAUAAUCAUUUAUUAUCCAUGCUAGAAUUGUAUUGAUAGAAAACUCAGAUACAUGUGUGGAUACAUAGACAACACCAUGUCCCUAGUAAGCCUCUAGUUGACUAGCUCAUUGAUCAAUGGAUGGUUACGGUUUCCUGACCAUGGACAUUGGAUGUCGUUGAUAACGGGAUCACGUCAUUAGGAGAAUGAUGUGAUGGACAAGACCCAAUCCUAAGCCUAGCACAAGAUCGUGUAGUUCGUUUGCUAAAGCUUUUCUAAUGUCAAGUAUCAUUUCCUUAGACCAUGAGAUUGUGCAACUCCCGGAUACCGUAAGAGUGCUUUGGGUGUGCCAAACGUCACAACGUAACUGGGUGGCUAUAAAGGUACACUACAGGUAUCUCCGAAAGUGUCUGUUGGGUUGGCACGAAUCGAGACUGGGAUUUGUCACUCCAUGUAAACGGAGAGGUAUCUCUGAGCCCACUUGGUAGGACAUCAUCAUAAUGUGCACAAUGUGACCAAGGAGUUGAUCACGAGAUGAUGUGUUACGGAACGAGUAAAGAGACUUGCCGGUAAUGAGAUUGAACAAGGUAUUGGGAUACCGACGAUCGAAUCUCGGGCAAGUAUCGCACCGCUAGACAAAGGGAAUUGUAUACGGGAUUGAUUAAGUCCUUGACAUCGUGGUUCAUCCGAUGAGAUCAUCGUGGAGCAUGUGGGAGCCAACAUGGGUAUCCAGAUCCCGCUGUUGGUUAUUGAACGGAGAGUUGUCUCAGCCAUGUCUGCAUGACUCCCGAACCCAUAGGGUCUACACACUUAAGGUUCGAUGACGCUAGGGUUAUAGGGAAAGUAUGUACGCGGUUACCGAAUGUUGUUCAGAGUCCCGGAUGAGAUCCCGGAUGUCACGAGGAGUUCCGGAAUGGUCCGGAGGUAAAGAUUAAUAUAUAGGAAGUAUGGUUUUGGCCACCGAAAGUGUUUCGGGCAUCACCGGUAGUGUACCGGGACCACCGGAGGGGUCCGGGGGUCCACCAGGUGGGGUCACCAGCCCCGGAGGCCUACAUGGGCCAAUAGUGGGAAGGGACCAGCCCCUAGGUGGGCUGGGGCGUCUCCCACCAAGGCCCAAGGCGCCUCCAAGAGGGGAGGGGGCAAACCCUAGGGCAAAUGGGCCCUAAGGCCCACCUCAGGUGCGCCUCCCCCUCCCCCCCUUGUGGCCGCCACCCUAGAUGGGAUCUAGGGCUGCCGCCACCCCUAGGGAGGAAACCCUAGGUGGGGGCGUAGCCCUCCCUCUCCCCCUAUAUAUAGUGGAGGCAAAGAGGCAGCCCAACACAUGAAGUUCCUCCCCUGUUGGCGCAGCCCUACCCCUCUCCCUCCUCGUCUCUCAUAGUGCUUGGCGAAGCCCUGCUGGAGUCCCGCGCUCCUCCACCACCACCACGCCGUCGUGCUGCUGUUGGAUGGAGUCUUCCCCAACCUCUCCUUCUCCCCUUGCUGGAUCAAGGCGUAGGAGACGUCACCGGGCUGUACGUGUGUUGAACGCGGAGGUGCCGUCCGUUCGGCACUAGGAUCAUCGGUGAUUUGGAUCACGACGAGUACGAAUCCAUCAACCCCAUUCACUUGAACGCUUCUGCUUAGAGAUCUACAAGGGUAUGUAGAUGCACUCUCUUUCCCCUCGUUGCUAGAUUACUCCAUAGAUUGAUCUUGGUGAUGCGUAGAAAAUUUUAAAUUUCUGCUACGAUCCCCAACAGUGGCAUCAUGAGCUAGGUCUAUGCGUAGUUUCUAUGCACGAGUAGAACAAAAAGCAGUUGUGGGCGUCAAUAUUGUCAAUUUACUUGCCGUUACUUGUCUUAUCUUGAUUCGGCAGCAUCGUGGGAUGAAGCGGCCCGGACCGACCUUACACGUACUCUUACGUGAGACUGGUUCCAACGACUGACAUGCACUAGUUGCAUAAGGUGGCUAGCGGGUGUCUGUCUCUCCCACUUUAGUCGGAUCGGAUUCGAUGAAAAGGGUCAUUAUGAAGGGUAAAUAGAAAUUGGCAUAUCACGUUGUGGUUUUCGCGUAGGUAAGAAACUUUCUUGCUAGAAACCUAUAGCAGCGACGUAAAAAACUUGCAACAACAAUUAGAGGACGUCUAACUUGUUUUUGCAGCAUAUGCCUUGUGAUGUGAUAUGGCCAAGAGGAUGUGAUGAAUGAUAUAUGUGAUGUAUGAGAUUGAUCAUGUUCUUGUAAUAGGAAUCACGACUUGCAUGUCGAUGAGUAUGACAACCUGCAGGAGCCAUAGGAGUUGUCUUAAUUUAUUUAUGACCUGCGUGUCAACAUAAACGUCAUGUAAUUACUUUACUUUAUUGCUAAAGCGUUAGCCGUAGUAGUAGAAGUAAUAGAUGACGAGACAACUUCAAGAAGACACGAUGAUGGAGAUCAUGAUGAUGGAGAUCAUGGUGUCAUGCCGGUGACAACGAUGAUCAUGGAGCCCCGAAGAUGGAGAUCAAAAGGAGCAAAAUGAUAUUGGCCAUAUCAUGUCACUAUUUGAUUGCAUGUGAUGUUUAUCAUGUUUUACAUCUUAUUUGCUUAGGACGACGGUAGCUUAAAUAAGAUGAACCCUCACUAAAAUUUCAAGAAAAGUGUUCCCCCUAACUGUGCACCGUUGUGAAGGUUCGUCAUUUCGAAGCACCACGUGAUGAUCGGGUGUGAUAGAUUCUUACGUUCGAAUACAACGGGUGUAAGCCAGAUUUACACACGCAAUACACUUAGGUUGGCUUGACGAGCCUAGCAUGUACAUACAUGGCCUCGGAACACGGAAGACCGAAAGGUUGAACAUGAGUCGUAUAGAAGAUACGAUCAACAUGAGAUGUUCACCGUUGAUAACUAGUCCAUCUCACGUGAUGAUCGGACACGGCCUAGUCGAUUCGGAUCAUGUUUCACUUAGAUGACUAGAGGGAUGUCUACCUGAGUGGGAGUUCAUUAAAUUAAUUUGAUUAGAUGAACUCAAUUAUCAUGAACAUAGUCUAAAUUGUCUUUGCAAAUAUGUUGUAGAUAAAUAGCCCAUGUUGUAGCUCCCUGUUUCAAUACGUUCCUAGAGAAAGAUUAAGUUGAAAGAUAUCGUAAGCAAUGAUGCGGACUAGGUCCGUAGUCCGAGGAGUGUCCUCACUGCUACACAGAAAGCUUGCAUCUUUGAUGCACCGCUCGAUGUGCAAACCCCUACAACAUCGUUUGUGGAUGUUGUGAACACCUGACAGACACAUCCUGAUGACUACUUGAUAGUUUAGUGCACCAUACUUUACGGCUUAGAAGCGGGAUUCCAAUGACGUUUUGAGCGCCAUAGAACAUAUGAGAUGUUCCAAGAGCUGAAAUUGGGAUAUCAGGCUCAUGCCCGUGUUGAGAGGUGUGAGACCUCUGACAAGUUCUUUUGCCAACAAGAUGGAGGAGAAUAGCUCAGCUAAUGAGCAUGUGCUCAGAAUGUCUGGGUGCUACAAUCACUUAAAUCAAGUGGGAGUUAAACUUCCAGAUAAGAUAGUGAUUGAUAGAGUUCUCUAGCCACUAUCACUUAGCUACUAGAUCUUCGUGAUGAACUAUGACAUGCAAGGGAUGGAGUUGAUCCCAGAGCUGUUCGCGGUGCUUAAGACCGCAAAAGGUAGAAUUCAAGAAGGAGCAUCAAGUGUUGACGGUUUAACAAGACCACUGGUUUCAAGAAGGGCAAGGGCUAGAAGGGAAACUUCAUGGAUGGCAAACCAGUUGCCGCUCCAGUGAAGGAUCCCAAGGUUGAACCCAAACCCGAGACUAAGUGCUUCUAUUGUAAGGGGAACGGUCACUGGUAGCGGAAUUACCCCAAAUGCAUGGUAGAUAAGAAGGCUGGCAACUUCAACAAAGUAUAUACGUGUUAUUAAUGUGUACCUCACUAGUACUCCUGGUAGCACCUGGGUAUUGGAUACCGGUUCAGUUGCUAUUAUUGGUGACUUGAAGCAAAAGCUACAGACUAAACGGAGACUAGCUAAGGGCGAGGUGACGAUGUGUGUUGGAAGUGUUUCCAAAAUUGAUGAGAUCACCAUCGCACGCUCCAUCUGCCUUCGGGAUUAGUAUUGAACCUAGAUAAAUGUUAUCAGGUGUCUACGUUGAGCAUGAAUAUGAUUAGAUCAUAUUCAUUGCAAUACGGUCAUUCAUUUAAGUUAGAGAAUAAUGGUUAUUCUGUUUACAUGAAUGAUACCUUUCAUGGUCAUGCACCCUAUGUGAAUGGUUCAUUGAAUCUCGGUCGUGGUAAUACACAUGUUCACGCCAAAAGAUGUAGAGUUAAUAAUGAUAGUACCACUUUCUCGUGGCACUGCCGCUUAGGUCAUAUUGGCGUAAGAUGCAUGAAGAAACUCCAUGUCGAUGGAUGUUUGGAGUCACUUGAUUUUGAAUCACUUGACACAUGUGAGCCAUGCCUCAUGGGCAGGAUGACUAAGACCCCGUUUUCAGGUACAAUGAAAUGGGCAAGUGACUUGUUGGAAAUCAUGCAUGCUGAUACGUGUGAUCCAAUGAGAAUUGAAGCGUGCAGUGCAUAUUGCUAUUUUCUCAUCUUCACUGACGAUUUGAGUAGAUAUAGGUAUAUUUACUUAAUGAAGCACAAGUCUGAAAUGUUUGAAAAGUUCAAGCGAUUUCAGAGUGAAGUUAAGAAUCAUCAUAACAAGAAGAUCAAAUUCCUAUGAUCUGAUCAAUGAGAAUUUCUGAGUUAUGAGUUUGGCAAUCACUUAAGACAUUAUGGAAUUGUUUCACAGUUGAAGCCACCUGGAACACCACAGGGUAAUGGUGUGUCCGGACGUCGUAAUCGAACCUUAUGAGAUAUGGUGCGAUCUAUGAUGUCUCUUACCGAUCUACCGCUAUUAUUUUGAGGUUAUGCAUUAGAGACAGCUGCAUUCACUUUAGAUAGGACACCAUAUAAGUCUGUUGAGACGAUGUCGUAUGAACAUUGGUUUGGCAAGAAACCAAAGUUGUCAUUUCUUAAUGUUUGGGGCUGCGAUGCUUAAGGCUUCAGCCGGAGAAGCUCGAACCCAAAGCGGACAAACACAUCUUCAUAGGAUACCCAAAGGUUACAGUUGGGUAUACCUUCUAUCUCAGAUCCGAGGGAAAAUUGUUUGUCGCUAAGAAUGGGUCCUUUCUCGAGAAGGAGUUUCUCUUGAAAGAAUUGAGUGGGAGGAAGAUAGAACUUGAUGAGGUUGUCGAACCUUUACUUCAACCAGAGAGUGAUGCAACAUAGAAAGAUGUUUUCUGUGGCGCCUACAUCUGUUGAAUAGGAAGUUAAUGAUAGUGAUCAUGAAGCUUCGGAUCAAGUUGCUAUCGAACCCUGUAGGUCAACAAGGAUAUGUACUACUCCUGAGUGGUACGGUAAUCCUGUCUUGGAUAUCAUGUUGUUAGACAACAAUGAACCUACGAGCUAUGGAGAAGCGAUGGUGGGCCCGUAUUCUGACAAAUGGUUAGAAACCAUGAAAUCUGAGAUAGGAUCCAUAUAUCAGAACAAAGUAUGGACUUUGGUGGACUUGCCCGUUGAUCGGCAAGCCAUUGAGAUAAAUGGAUCUUUAAGAAGAAGACGGACGUGGGUGGUAUUGUUACCGUCUAUGAAGCUCGACUUGUGGGAAAGAGUCUUUUCACAAGUUCAAAGAGUUGACUACGAUGAGAAUUUCUCACCCGUAGCAGUGCUUAAGUCCGUCGGAAUCAUGUUAGCAUUAGCUGUAUUUUUCGAUUAUGAAAUCUGACAGAUGGAUGUCAAAACGAGUUUUCUUACCAGUUUUCGUAAGAAAAAGUUGUAUGUGAUACAAUAAAAGGUUUUGUCAAUCCUAAGGAUGCUAAAAGGUAUGCUGGCUCCAGCGAUCCUUCUAUGGACUAGAGCAAGCAUCUCGGAAUUGGAAUAUAUGCUUUGAUGGAGUGAUCAAAGCUUUUAGGUUUAUACAAUGUUUGCUAGAAACUUGUAUUUACAAGAAAGUGAGUGGGAGCACUACAACAUUUCUGAUAAGUAUAUGUGGAUGACAUAUUGUUGAUCCGAAAUAAUGUAGAAUUUUUGAAAAGCAUAAACGGUUGUUUGAAGAGUGAUUUUCAAAGAAAGACCUGGAUAAAGCUGCUUACAUAUUGGGCAUCAAGAUCUAUAGAGAUAGAUUAAGACGCCUGAUGAUACUUUCAAAGAACGCACACCUUGACAUGUUUUUGAAGGAGUUCAAAAUAGAUCAGUCAAAGAAGGGGUUCUUACCUGAGUUGUAAGGUGUGAAGUUGAGUAAGACUCAAAGCUUGACCACGGCAGAAGAAAGAGGAAGGACGAAGGUCGUCCCCUGUGCUUUUGUCAUAGGCUCUAUACGGUAUGCCAUGCUAAAGUACCGCACCUAAUGUGUGCCUUGCCACAUGUCUGGCAAGAGGGUACAAAGGUGAUCUAGGAAUGGAUCUCGAGAUAGCAAUCAAAGUUAUCCUUAGAGGAAUAAGGAAAUGUUUCUCGGUUAUGGAGGUGAUAAAGAGUUCGACAUAAAGAGUUACGUCGAUGCAAGCUUAACACCUAUCCCGAUAGCUCUGAGUAGAGAUACCGGAUACGUAUAAUGGAGCAAUAAUUCGGAAUAGCUCCAAGUGGAACGUGGUAGCAGCAUCUACGAUGUAAAGUUUUGCGAAAUACAUAGGGAUCUGAAUAUGGCAAGACCCGUUGACUACAACCUCUCCCACAAGCAUAACAUGAUCAAACCUAGAACUCAUCGAGUGUUAAUCACAUAGUGAUGUGAACUAGAUUAUUGAGUCUAGUAAACUCUUUGGAUGUUGGUCACAUGGCGAUGUGACCUGUGAGUGUUAAUCACAUGGCGAUGUGAACUAGAUUAAUGACUCUAGUGCAAGUGGGAGACUAUUGGAAAUAUGCCCUAGAGGCAAUAAUAAAUUAGUUAUUAUUAUUAUAAUUCAUUGUUCAUGAUAAUCGUUUAUUAUCCAUGCUAGAAUUGUAUUGAUAGGAAACUCAGAUACAUGUGUGGAUACAUAGACAACACCAUGUCCCUAGUAAGCCUCUAGUUGACUAGCUCGUUGAUCAAUGGAUGGUUACGGUUUCCUGACCAUGGACAUUGGAUGUCGUUGAUAACGGGAUCACAUCAUUAGGAGAAUGAUGUGAUGGACAAGACCCAAUCCUAAGCCUAGCACAAGAUCGUGUAGUUCGUUUGCUAAAGCUUUUCUAAUGUCAAGUAUCAUUUCCUUAGACCAUGAGAUUGUGCAACUCCCGGAUACCGUAGGAGUGCUUUGGGUGUGCCAAACGUCACAACGUAACUGGGUGGCUAUAAAGGUACACUACAAGUAUCUCCGAAAGUGUCUGUUGGGUUGGCACGAAUCGAGACUGGGAUUUGUCACUCCGUGUAAACGGAGAGGUAUCUCUGGGCGCACUCGGUAGGACAUCAUCAUAAUGUGCACAAUGUGACCAAGGAGUUGAUCACGGGAUGAUGUAUUAUGGAACGAGUAAAGAGACUUGCCGGUAACGAGAUUGAACAAGGUAUCGGGAUACUGAUGAUCGAAUCUCGGGCAAGUAUCGCACCGCUAGACAAAGGGAAUUUUAUACAGGAUGAUUAAGUCCUUGACAUCGUGGUUCAUCCGAUGAGAUCAUCGUGGAGCAUGUGGAAGCCAACAUGGGUAUCCACAUCCCGUUGUUGGUUAUUGACCGGAGAGUUGUCUCGGCCAUGUCUGCAUGACUCCUGAACCCGUAGGGUCUACACACUUAAGGUUUGAUGACGCUAGGGUUAUAGGGAAAGUAUGUACGCGGUUACCGAAUGUUUUUCGGAGUCCCGGAUGAGAUCCCGGACGUCACGAGGAGUUACAGAAUGGUUCGGAGGUAAAGAUUAAUAUAUAGGAAGUAUGGUUUUGUCCACUGGAAGCCUUCCGGGCAUCACCGAUAGUGUACCGGGACCACCAGAGGGGUCCGGGGGUCCACCAGGUGGGGUCACCAGCCCCGGAGGCCUACAUGGGCCAAUAGUGGGAAGGGACCAGCCCCUAGGUGGGCUGGGGCGUCUCCCACCAAGGCCCAAGGUGCCUCCAAGAGGGGAGGGGGGCAAACCCUAGGGUAGAUGGGCCCUAAGGCCCACCUCAGGUGCGCCUCCCCCUCUCCCCCUUGUGGCCGCCACCCUAGAUGGGAUAUAGGGCUGCCGCUACCCCUAGGGAGGAAACCCUAGGUGGGGGCGCAGCCCUCCCUCUCCCCCUAUAUAUAGUGGAGGCAAAGGGGCAGCCCAACACAUGAAGUUCCUCCCCUGUUGGCGCAACCCUACCCCUCUCCCUCCUCGUCUCUCAUAGUGCUUGGCGAAGCCCUGAUGGAGUCCCGCGCUCCUCGACCACCACCACACCGUCGUGCUGCUGCUGGAUGGAGUCUUCCCCAACCUCUCCUUCUCCCCUUGCUGGAUCAAGGCGUAGGAGACGUCACCGGGCUGUACGUGUGUUGAACACGGAGGUGCCGUCCAUUCGGCACUAGGAUCAUCGGUGAUUUGGAUCACGACGAGUACGACUCCAUCAACCCCGUUCACUUGAACGCUUCCGCUUAGCGAUCUACAAGGGUAUGUGGAUGCACUCUCUUUCCCCUCAUUGCUAGAUUACUCCAUAGAUUGAUCUUGGUGAUGCGUAGAAAAUUUGAAAUUUCUGCUACGAUCCCCAACACAAGAAGCACUACGGCGACAUCGUAUGAUCACUGGAGCUAGAAUCAUGCAUAUUGACUAAGUUGACAAAGCCCUCCGUCCCCGUCAACUUAGUAGGCCCACAAGUCAGCCUACCACUAUACUGGGUCCCAGCUAACAGGGGGAGUAUUCUUUUUUGCGUAAUAAGGAGGCACUUCCUUGCGUGCGAAGAUAUGGCUGGUGGGUCUGAGCUGUCAGCGGCGGUAACGUUUUUUUCGCGAAAUACAGAGGCCCUUUCGGUGGGUCCCAGAUGUCAGGUGGAGGAAUCAUUAUUUUGCGCGUAAUAAGGAGGCAUUUCCUUGCGUGCGGCCGUGGACCCAGCUGUCGGCCUCUCCACCUAAAGUCCACUUCAGAUGCAUGUCGGUCGUUGACCACGUUGACCAGGCCGCACCGAGAGCACCAGGGCGGUGGACGACGGCGAGGCCUAGGAAGGGAACGGCAUGGAGGCAGGGAAGACUCAGCAGUUGUUUCCCACGCGGAGGGGAGUACGACUGUACGAGGGUUUACUGGUUCGUCUGCCGUCGCUGGAGAAUAACAGCAGGUGUGGGUGAGUAGAGGGAUGGCUAGGCCAGCGAUGGGAGUACAGUGAGGCAGUGAGGCCUGCGCGGCAGCAGAGCCGGCCGCGGGGAGGAGGGAGUAGGCAGUCCCGCCGGCGCUAGUUUGAGCGGCUGGAGCAGGAAAAGCAGAGAUUUAAGAAGCACGACGGCCGUUGGAUGGCCAUCCAACAGUCACUGCUUGUGCGUCAACCUUUUUUUAGGAAAGCCUCAAAUCUGUGGGAAACAACAUACAACCCAUCUGCCAUUAUUUAUAAUAAUUUACAGCCCAUUUGCUAAUUAUUAAGGUUUUUUUGGAGCCCAUAUUUUUUUUGUUAGCAUUACAACCCAUAUUGUGGCCACGGUUAAAAAAUUAUACCAAAUUUUGCAUAUUUCGGUGCGGUCCGAACUGUUUUUAAUCCCGAAAUUUUGACUCACAUUCAAACUGAUUUUAAAAAUAAAUGUAUAUCAAUAUAAAAUCCAACAAAUUCUCCAUGCAUAAAAAUUAAUGUAAUUUAAAAUCUGGAAAUGAAAAAAAAGACAUUUGAAACUAAUUGCCGGUUUGAUGUGUUUUAAAAAUGUACAGCCCAUUUCUCAUUACUGAUGGGCCAUUUUCUCGGCCAUCCGAAUGAAAGCUCUCCUCGUAUUGAAAGAUUUGCAGCCCAACAGGCCUGACAAAGCGACUUGCUUGGCAAAUCACAAAAAAAACUGGGGUGUGGCCGUGGACCCAGCUGUCAGCCUCUCCACGUACAGUACUCUUCCGGUGGAAGUCGUUCCUUGACCACGUUGACCAUGCCGCGCGGAGAGCACCACGGUGGUGGACGAUGGCGAGGCCUAGGAAGGGGACGACGCGGCAGUGAAAGCCCGCGCGGAGAGGAGUACGAGGGUUCAUUGGUUCGGCUGCGGUGUGAGGCUGCUGUCACCGCAGGGCUUGGCCAGCGGUGGGAAUAGUAGGGGGCGGUGAGGCCUCCGCGGUAGGACAACCGACCACGGGAGGCAGGAGCAUGCGACACGACCGGCGCUGCUUUGGGCGGCUGGGGCAAGAAGACCAGAGGUUGAAGAAGCACUACGGCCGUUGGAUGGACAUCGUCGACCACGCCGCGCCGAGAGCACCAGGGCGGUGGACGACGGCGAGGCCUACGAAGGGAACGACACGGAGCUGGGGAAGACACGACAGUGGCUGCCCACGCGGUGGAGAGUACGAGGGUUGAUUGGUUCGGUUGCCGUCGCUGGAAAAUAACAGGAGGUGUGGGUGAGUAGAGGGAUAGACAGGCCAGGGAUGCUAGUAUGAUGGGGCCGUGAGGCCUUCCCGGCAGCACUGCUGGCCACGGGAGGCGGGAGCAGGCGGUUCCGACGGCGCUGGUUUGGGCGGCUGGGGCAGGAGGAUCAGAGACUAAAGAAGCACGAUUGCCGUUAGAUUGACAUCUAACGGUCUGACGCUGGUAGAGUCGAUUGUUGACUAAGUUUCUUUUUUGAGAAACCUUGUGUACGCAUGAACUUAGUAGACCUACAAGUCAGCCUCCAAAUCUGUGGCAGACAACAUAAAGCCCAUUUGCUACUUUUUAUAAUUUGCAGACCAUUUGCUAAUUCUUAAAUAAUUUAUUACAGCCUAUUUUUUCCUAGGACUACGGUCAAAAAGUCCUAGCUUAUUUUGCAUAUUUCGGUGGAGUCCGAACUGUUGUAAUCCUGAAAUGAUAAACAUUUUUUAAGAACUUAUUGAUUUGCCAAAAAAUCGUUUUGUUUUUGUAAGCAAAUAAGACGUGGGACAAAUUUAGUUGGUUUAAGGGAAAACCAGUGGUAAAAAAUCAGCGCUGGGUGGGAAAAAACAACAAAAAUAAGGAUGUAAAUAUGAAAAGGGAAUUUUAUGUGUUUUCAAUAUAAUGAUACGUGUAUACGAACUAGUCAAACUAUAGGUAGAGCUUAGAAAACGGAUGUAGGACAUGCGUUUCAAGAGGAAAAUAGAACUAGGCUGUGUGUUUGAUUCAGUAAAAAAACUGCAUGCGGAUGUUGUAAGACAAAAUAUAACUAACUCUGGCAGACCAGAGGCCAGUAGAUACCUGCUGGAUCUUUGUGCCCCGUUGUCAUCAUGGCUGGGCCUGUUAAAAACAAAACAACCUUGUCAAUCUACAGCCCAGUUGAAACUUGCUAGACCUGAAAAAACAAUAUACGUGCUCAAUAAACGAGAGAAUUCUGCAAGUACAGACUGAUAACUGAGAUGCAGCACGUAUAUUGUUUUUUAUCGUGAUAAUAAGUGCAUGCACUUGUUUCAAAAAAAAUUGGAGAACUGAGAAUUCGAACGGCGGGUGCUUAUGCUACCCAUCAAAUAAAAAUCAGGUGCCUGAAAAUUCGUUUCAAAAAAAAUGAUUCAGCUUUAUAUCCACGUCGACCCUCGGCACGAUGGUUGGAAGCAAAUGCAAGUUCAUACUAAAAGAUCGUUAACAACAAUACCAACUUGCGGACGACAAGGUAGUACAACUACCAAUACCAAACUAACUUAUAAUCUUUUUACUCCUGGCCCUAGUGUUCGUCUGGUAGAAAAUCUUGCAGAGGACCAGCUCCCGCUCCUUCUCUUGCUCCAGGUCCCCGAGGUGGUACUGGUGCAUCACCCAGCUGGUCCUCUGCUGGUCGAAGUUUUUGUUGGUGUGCAGCAUCAGAACCUUUUUUGCUGCCCGUCUGCCGGCCGUUGACCAUCACCGGCAAGGUAUUGCCGGUGUUGUGCCACAUUGCGUGCAUUCCGCACUCCGACUGUAUCUUGCGACACGUCUACGCGUCCCUUUUGAACGCCCUGGAAUUGCGCUGGAAGAAAUGCUUCCUUAGGCCACUCAGUGUGAUACCUGCAGUAUUGUGGAAUACAGGUUUUAGUGUACCUUGUUGGCAUUUUCAUAACAUCUUUGGCAUGUUACAGUCACUUGUUUCACUUUUUAUUAACUGUCAAAUUGUAAUUGCUUUACCAGGUCUGCGUGUAAAAAAAUAGAGCUAUAAACAAAGGAAUAUAUUUGUGCAAGUAGACGGCCGAUCGGUGUCUUACCUGGAAGUUUCUCAGGUUGGGUGUAACAUAUGCCGUGCUUGCUGUCGAUGGUUGGUAUGAACAAAUCGACAAGAGACUGAAAUCUCGCACUGUCAGCACUCACUUUGGCCUCAAGUUUCUCAGGUUGGGUCAAUCCUUCUUCGACUUGCAUCGGUAAUUCCAGAAUACCCGAACACGCCGCCGGGAUUCUUAUGUCACCUCACGCGCAGCGUGUUGUCACGUCAAUUCAAUGUGUGGACAUGAUAAAUAAUUUGACCGACGUAUACUAGUACUGCUACUGUACUACUUACUAGUCGUAUUUAGUGUCACAAUUUAUACAUAGGUUUAACUAACAAAUACGCACUUGAAGUCUAACUGAUAUAUAGGACAGGGCUAUUUUGUUACUAGUAAUAGAAUAAUAUUCUAUUACUCCAGCGCCCUAUAGAGAACGAGAUGAAUUUUCUUCGAACCAGUACGCCCGUGCGAAAAAAUUCAAAUCACCCACUCAGUCGUCUGCAACCACCUCUUCCACUCGCCGGCCUUCCCCUCCGCCCCGCGCGCCACCGGCAAACCUCCACCCCGCGCGCCCCCUGGCCAGACUCCACCCCGCACACCGCCGGCCAACGUCCAUCCCACACUCCCGCCGGCCACCCUCCACCCCGCGCACCACCGGCCAGCCUCCAUCCCGCGCUCCCGCAGGCCACCCUCAACCCCGCGCGCCCGCCGGCCAACCUCCACCCAGCACGCCCCCGGCUACCCUCCACCCGACGCGCCCGCCAGCCAUCCUCCAUCCUGCGCGCCCCCGGCCACCCUCUGUCCCAUGUUCCUGCCGGCCUUCCUCCUGUCGCACCACCCACCGACCACCAACAUCGCUCAUCGCAUGCCUUCGUCGUGUACGGGACUGGAUAUGCCCCCGACACCUCUUCCUCCCCUGCCCCCGCACAUGGAAGCUAGUGGCUGGUGCCAUUCGAUGCUGCUCUGCUCCAUCAACUUCAACCACCGGCUCAUGAGGUGCACGCCAUGUGUUUGCUAAAUUGACUCAGUGUAGUGGAGCACCAUUUUUACUUUGUUUCAUGUUCAUUUGUAGGUAGCUCGUUCUUGCCAAAUGUUGUAGCUUAGAUGACUUCAGAAUGUUUAUCGUGUGUGCUCUACCGUCGCGUGCUAGUCCAAGAAUUCCUAUCAACAGAUAAGUCCAUGUACUACUACCAUGGGACUUCAAAGAAAUUCCUGUAACACAGGCCGUGCCCCGGCCCCAUGUUCCGGCGUCGCCCUCCACAGCCUGAGCACGCAGGCCGUUCACCUCCGCCACCCAGGCCGUUCACCUCCGCCACCGAUGUCUGUUCAACGUCACCAGGAGAACCCUGUGCGUCAACACCCCUAUCAACCCCGUGCGACUUUGUUCUCUCAGCUUCAAAGAGGGUUCAGUUCAGAACUUUGAACGCCCAGAGGUUCAGUUCAGAACUUGGCCUGAUGAUACAUUUGGUUUCUUUUCUGCAGCUCACACAACCCAAAUAACAGCUGAUCAUUUGAUAAAUUUUGGGUUCAGCUUCACACUACGCAGGAGUGCAUAUUCUUCUACUUGUAAGUUCUAAUAAUAGAUGGGUGGUUUUGCUAAUCAGUUCAAGCUCAAAUAAUAAAAUUCCUCGCUGGAUUGCAUCGUUCUUAUCUAUUGUUUUUUUGCUCGAUUGAUAUCACCCACUUCAAGUCCUUUUCUCCAGCCAUGAUAGAGAUCCAUUCAAACUAGUUGUUCUAUGUUUACACAUUCAGAUAUACUAGAUGAUCUGUUGAAAGAUACGAUAUGUGUACUGUUGAUAAUCUCAAACAUGUUUUACUCAACUUUAGAAAACAUGUAAUAUUGCUGUGCUGCUUUGCAGCGUCUCCAGUAGUCCUACUUCUCCAUGACAACAAGGACGACGUCGCCAUGCGUGCACACUCUCCUUUCUUUCUACUUCCGAGACGGUGAGGAGCUCCAGUAGGUGGCCGCCGGUGGGAUCCAUAGGUCAGCCCCCAUCUUCCACCUCCCCUAGUCUCCUCUUCAGCAGGAGCAACACCAUUAGGAGCUCGAAGUAAAAUGAGGACGGCUGCAGUGAUGCACAGUGCAUUUCGCCCACUCCUGUCCAACAAGUUCCCACCGUGCAUUUUUGUGUGUGUAGAAAUUCGGCUAAUCUAGUUCGCGAAUUUGGUCUACUUGUUGUAAAUCUGUCAGUUCAAGACAAGUGCCUUCUGAUCCUAGAAAUUAGGUCCUUUGUGAAUAUUGCUUGUUUCAGAAAGAAAUAGACUUUGUAAUUGCAUCACAUGGUGUACUGAUCAACAUAAACAUGGUGUACUGAGCAAAACAUACACAUUCUAUCUAUUUAGCCGUGAGUAACACUUAAAAAAGUUUGAUAUGCACAACAACAAAUUGAAUCUUUGAUACAGGAAUACACACACCCAAUGCCACUGUAGAUAGAUAGAUGGCCACCCCUACCUGAUGUUUUUAAUUCAAAGUGCCAAACCCAAUGUAAACCGCUCCUGCUGCUUAACAAAAAAUCACUUAUUUGAACCGAGGAAUAUUACUUAUUGCCAUGAUCUAUUGAAGCCAAGAUCUGCUGCAGCAUUCAAAUCCCUUCAAUUCACUUCUAUCUCCCUUGAUAAGUUCAGUGUGUGUAAUGGAAAAAAUAAAAAUAUAAUAGUGCAGUUCACUUCAACCAGUUGAUAUUGGAUUAUAUUGGUUGAUUGCAAAAUACUUUGUUGUUUGCCCAUCACCGUGGCCCUGCUCCCUAACCAACACCACCGGCCAACAACAUGGCCUUGCACCCUGACCAUCGCCACGACCCCUCCUUCUUGCGCUGCCGCAUCGUGCACUCACCACGCCAUGUGUGGCAUCCUCUCGGCGAAGCGCCCGUGCUGUGUCGUGGGCCAAUUUUCCGGUGUCACCCUCCGCCGCCUCAGCGCACAGGCAGUUCACCUCCGCCACCCCAGGCCGUACACCACUACGAAGAGAGCCCGUUCAACUAUGUGAUAGAGAAUUUUUGUACCAGACUUAGUAUUACUCCGGUGUGUAAUCUAUCCUCAGUCCAUGAAAAAUCACAGAAAUUGUUGGUAUGUGUGCAGAAAUAUCGUCAGUGCAAGUUUCAAAAAUAUGUAAGUUUAGAUAUAUCACCUAAAUAAGUAAUGAUUUGCAGCGAGUUUCUUCAAAAUUCCGUAAAGUUUAGAUAUAUCACCUAAUGUAUCGUCAGUGCAAGUUUGAAAAUUCUAUAAGUUUAGAUAUAUCGUAAAGAAAAACUGAUGAGUCACCGUCUGCUUUAUAUUCAUGUUCUCUGCAGCACAGGUAGCAGUGGGACUGACUGGGAGUGAUCCCUGAACCAUUUGAUUAAAUGCCAUGGUUUCCAACUAUGGUAAUGCUAAUAGAAAGUGUUAGAGGCCACGAAGCCUCUUGGCUUCUCCAAUAAGCAGGUUUGGCUAGUUCUGAAGCGCCUCCUCAAGUUUCUGAGUAUGCGAUGCGUCGAUGGACGCAUCCUAGGCGGCCAAGCACGACGUGUUUUGUCCUGCACCCAGAAGCUUUGGAGGCGAUGUGUUGCCCUUAGUAAUUUCUUAACAAUUCCAGUAGUGCUGGUUCAUAUAGAACUUGAAAUUACCAAUCUGCCACGGGGACGUACUUCCCUCAGUAUUCUCUCAACAAAUCUAGCAGUGCAGGUUCUCUGGUGCACUAAGUAUUUCCGGUGGCGAUGCCUGCUUAUAUAUUUCUGCUUUCAUGUAUUAAACCUUGCAGUCAGGUACUAUUUCAUGAUAAUAUGUGAACUGAAAGAAAGGUUCAACUAUGUGUUAUUUUAGCUGAGUUUAAUUUCUUAUUCUCGUUUAGUUCAAAUUCGUAUUCUACUUCAGUUCAACUUCUAAAAUUUUGUUUAGUGUUAUACAUACCCAAGACUAGAACUCUUGGAUGAUUACAUUAGAUGAGUUAAUUAAUUAACUAUGUUUUUCAACCUCAGGUGCAACCUUGCCAGCAGCAUGUUGGCGGGUUCCUCUGUCUUUCUUGUUGCUGCUCCAAGCCGCAACACCUCAUGUCGUCAUCAUCUCUGCAGGGCCACCGCUCCAACCUGUCCCCUGUUGCAGCCCCACCACUCAUUGUCGAUGCACUCCAACCCAAGGACCUCCAAGAUGGAGGUCGCCUCGCAGCCUAGCGACGGGGUAACUCAUCUUCCUUGUGCGUCCUUCGCCCACUAUGCACCCUGCUGCCCUCGACUUCCUUCCUCACAGGCAUGCUACCCCAACUUUUAUUUUGAUUUUUAGUUUAACUUGUGUGUUCUUUUCUGUGCAUUAUGCUUUAAAUGUGCAGAGUCCUGAGGAAAAAUGAUACAUUUUAGUUUGCUUUGCCGCAAGGGCAUUGCUGAAACUUAACUUCUGUCUAAACCUAUAACCAUCCAUUUCGAAAACAGAUGCUACUUUACUUUGCAUGGAUCCUGAACAAACACCAUAGGGAUGGCUAAACUUAUUUGCUCUAGUCAUCCCUGGUGCCCUUGCUGAAUAAACACCACCAAGAAUAGAAAGCAAAUAGCUUCUGUCUAAACUUAUUUGCUCUAGUCGCCAUUCCCUCCGGCGACACUGGCUCCACCCCCAUUGCAGUGCUCUAGAUGUCAUCCUGGAAUAGCAAGGAUGACUUGGUAGUCACUAGGAUUCCCUGCAGUGGCGAAAUCGUGCUGCUCGUGAUCUCCGCCUCCAUCAGCUCCACUUCGCCGGAGCAAUCAGUCCAGAGGAGGAGGUGUAGCCGGUCCACCCAAUCUCCGACGUCUUAUUCCACCUCCAAAAAAAAUUCUUUUUGUUUUCUAUUCUUCAUCACAGGUUCACUUCUAUUACCUCGGUGCAAAAAGUGCCAAAAAGAUCAGUCCGGACUUACUAAAUGUCCAUAUUGUACAUAGUAUUUGCAUAGUCUUAAAUUUCUAGAAAACAAGCUUCCAUACAAAGAAGGUUCAGUACAAGAAAAAUGGUUCAGUUAGUUCAUCCAUAUGCAAACCCUCAUAACGAAACCUACCACUAGAGUUCCUUCCACGACGCCUCGACCUCCUGUUCAGCCAUGGAUUCUUGCCAUCCAAUACACGAUUGGUGAGAAACACCUUCGUCCUCCUCCUCUCCUACUCUUCAGUUCACAUACUGCCAUCCAUGAUGGCCAUUUUUCUUGUAAUCUAGAUUUUGAUCCAACUGAAAGUUCAGGAGUUCUUCGGGGGACUGCUCAUAGAUGCAAGAAAGAGACAUAGAGAGAGAGAGAUGCAAAAAAGACAUAUAUAUGGAGAGAGGCUACUACGGUUCACUUGGGGGAUGCUUUGUUGUGCAGGAUUUUGGGGGUGCCUAGUCUGGCAAGGGUUUUCAAGUAUAACAUGUGUGAUAGUGGCAAUUUUCAAAAACUUUAAUAGUUCAAGUACAUAAGAAAACAUAAGUCCACUCUGUAAAAACAAAAGUAGACGCAGAAAGUUCAGUUUUGCUAUAUACGAUUGGUAAUGCCGAUGUGUUCCUUUGUGGUUUAGAUUUCGACAGUAAACUAUGCAAACAAUUUAAAAGUACUCAAGUCCAACUUGCAAACCAGUAGCAGUCCUAUAGUGCAACAUGCAUCAAAUUCAAGAAAAUAGCAAACCUGACUUGAAGCAAAUUCACAUUUGGUUGUUAAUUUCAUAGCUCAUCGUUUCUAAUAUAAGCCAAUGCUUCUAUUCUAAUCUAGUUUUUUAUUUUGUAGAUCACCUUUUCUAAUAUAAUGUUAAAAGUCAACUAGAUGAAAAAAUCAGUGUGUUAGCGAUCAGUACUAGUGCUCAUCAGUAUGGCAAGCAGCAGUACUGAUUAGUAUGACUUACACAAAUACCAGUACUGACUAGUACUUUCUUAAUGUUAAAGAUGAGCAGUAAAAGAUACAAGUUGCAGUUCCAGGGCAACCUGUCUUGGAUCCUUUUCAGAUUCAGGUAAUAAAUGUUUGGUAAUCUUAUAUACUUGCAUCAGUUCAGACUCGCGGAUACAAUAAGUUGAGGGAAAACCCAUACAAAAGUUCAAAGUUGAGAAACAGGGGUUCUUUGUUUCAAUGUUUGCUAGUGUAUGCAGAUUGGUUUGCAUGAAUUUCAUAGUUGGAUGGCUACUAAUCUCUAUAAAACCUUGGAAGCGGUGCUUGCAUUACUAGUCCAACCAUACUAGGUAAAAUUGAAUGUACGUAGCCAGUUCAAUAACAUCAUCUCCUUGUGCAAAAAAGUAGUUAAAAAGGUCAAACUGACAUCUGCUUCAGAAUGUCGCACAAAAAAAUAUUUAUCUGUAUUUGUCUUUUUCAUGUUGAAUUAUUUGAAGUAAAACAAAAAUAGCCCACUUUUGUGACUUUCAUCAUUUGAAAAUCUACAUGCCUGCAGUUCGAGGACGGACACCCCAGGUUCUCAAGCAGCACAGUUAUCGCACAAAGUCGAACUUGCUGCUGCACCAUCUUCACCAAGUCAUACUUGCAGAAGCCAGGGGAUCCACAAAUCGUUGGGAGCUGUCCAAGUCGAGCUAUGACCGCAGUCCAAGUGUUACUGCGACCACCAUCUUCACCAAGCGCUGCACCCAUUGAGCACCCACACAGUGAGAACGCCAUCUCAUUUUUCUUUGGACAUUUUCUUUAUGAUUCAUGCUCGCUGAUGGAUCAACUACUAUUCAUUUAGUUUGAACUCUCUGAACUGUGGAUGGGGCUCGCGCGCUAGCGCCACUACCGGCCCCGUAUAGCUAAGUCCUUGGCCCACUACAUGCCAUGCUGCCCUCGACCUCCCUCUCACAGGCAUGCUACCCCAACUUUUAUUUUGAUUCUCAGUUCAAGUUGUGUGUUCUUUUUGUUGCAUUGUGCUUUAAAUGUGUAAAAUCUUGAGGAAAUCCUAAAAUAUUAUGUGUGCAAUAAAGGUAAUUAAGUGCCUUUAGAAAUUCUGACAGUCCAUCCUAGACUAAGCAAAUAGUACAUGUUAGUGUUGGUUUUUUAAGAGAUUUAGUAUUAGUUGAUCAACAUUUUGAUGCUUUUUCACUAUGUCUGCACUCCAUUAUAGUUAAGCAUUGAUCCAUUUCUCAGCUGCAAGUAAAUAAUGAUCUUGCACUUCAUAAUAAUGCCCUCCCCCUCUGUUUCUCUUCCUCUCUAAAUCCCCUUUUUGUCACUAAUUUAUUUUCUCCCUGAAUGCAACACGAGGGAGGCUAGAGCGACUACAGAUCAAUGACAAGAGCCACUUCAGUUCUGUUGUUCGUGUAUUGGAAGUACGUAUCCUCUAUCCGGGCAGGAGAUAGAGGUGAUUUCUCCCCUAAUGCAACCUAUUUUGUAAGUAUCCUGAGACCCAUCAUGUCCUAUAUACAGAUUCAGAGUUUAACACAUCAAUGGAAGUUUGUUCUGAAAACUGAAAUUGUUCGGGAUGUACUGAUAGAUUAGUUGUUAAUUAUUGUAGUGUUUUGUUCCUGCAGAAUAAAAAUAAGAUGUAUGGCUUACUUCUUGGCCCAGCUGAGAGAACCCUCAUGUUGAAAAGUAUAAAGAAGUUUUGAAGCAAUUCCUAGUGUGUUUAGAAGCAUUCAUGGUUAAAAGCAGCGACAAUCUCCUUCGUUCAAGUUGAGCACUUGUCAUCAUCCAAGUUGAGAGCUAGAUGCCGUCCAACUUCAAAGAGGAUUGUAUGCAAGUACAGAAGUUUGUUUUAGUGAGAAAAAUGCGGGUUUUUGGACAAUGUUCUGUAUGUUUGAUUUGCUCAACCUUAGAACUUGGAGAUAUCCACUCUAUUUUUCUAUGAGGAAGGCACACAUGAGAUAUGUGCAAUGGUUAUCCCCCUAUUUUGUUUCUUCAAAUGUGUAUUUUGUUUCUUAUAAUGUGUUGUUCCCCUGUUCGAUGAGGUAACAAAGAAAAAUAGUGAAAAUAUCAUUCCAGACUUGUACGGUAGAAAGUGUGGAGAAGAAAACAGAAGUUUUAAAACAAGGGAAUGGUAAAAAAAUAUAAGUCCGUUCAACUAUAUAAACCAUGCAGGUAUGAUGGCGAUGACGCCUUCAGUAAGGAUGAGAAGGAAAAAUUAAAACUAAAACAAAAAGAGUUUCAAGUGAUUAUUUUUUGAGAAGUACAAACUCUCCAAUACCAUAAGUUUGAAUAUUAUUGUGCAAAAGGUACAAAAAAUGAAUGCCUAGAAGAAAAGAACACUUACUGCUAGAAAGAAAAUAGCUUGUGAAAGUUUAGAUCAUAAAAAGGUCAAGUUGCAGAAAGAAUGAAGUGCAGAACUUUGAUGCAAAAGAAAAAUUAGAAGUUCAAGAAGAAAACACAUAAAAUAUUUUCUUUUAUAUUUAGUACAAAGUUGAGACACUUAUUUUGGGAUGGAGGGAGUAUAAAGCAGUUUUGAAGUAAUUCCCAGUGUCUUUAGAAGCAUUCAUGGUUAAAAGGCAACGACAAUGUCCUCCGUUCGAGUUGAGCACUGGUCAUCGUCCAAGAUGAGCAGUAGGUGUCGUCCAGGUUCAAAGAGGGUUGUAUGCAAGUACAUAAGUUUGCUUUAGUGAGAAAAAUGCGGGGUUUUGACAAUAUUCUGUAUGAUUCAUUUUUAUUCAACCUUAGAACUUGGCGAUAUUCAAUCUAUUUUUCUAUGAUGAAGGCACACAUGAAGUCCUAUGCAAUGGUUACCCCCCUAGUGCUUCAAAGAUUCGUAUUUUGUCCUCAGAAUCAGUACAACAAAAUGACAGUAUCAGUACAAACGCUCAAAUUAAUCAGUUCAACAAUACUAACACGAUGGCGUGAUGAACUGCUAAAAAUAAUUAUAUCCUCCUCAUAAAAAUACAAUCAGCCCCCUAGGAACAGAGGGUCCGUGACAUGCUAUCCAUACCGAGGGUGAACUUCACAAAAAAAUUCAUAGCAAAAACAUCGCUAGCUAGCGACAGGCACACAAGAAAGAGGUCAAAGACAAGGAACUAUACCUUUUCUGAAGGAAGCUUGCUCAAACUCAGCAUUCUCGUUGUUAAAUCUUUCACUCUAUAAUAGGAAAUUCUUAGCUUCUUUUUUCUUUACCAGAAAAUUCAUUCUAUUACUAAACCCGCGCAGCGAUCUCGCUGGUGACUAGCACUGAAACACAGUCUGGAGCCUGCUCGAUCCAUGAAAGAUCAACACCUCUUGCCCUGAAGCCAAACGCGACUAGUUCAUGGGCUGCCUUAUUACACUCCCUUUUACAAAAAUUGAAACUAAAUGACUCAAAGUUUGCAUGACAUACACUACGCAUCUCAUGUAAUAGGACGCCAAUCAUGGCCCGGUCAUAAUCAUCAGAGUUCAGAGCUUGGACAAGGACCCUGGAGUCAGAUUCGGGUACCACUCUGUGUAGGCCAAAUUCAGCACUCGCUUCUGCUGCCCUCAAACCUGUCAUCAUCUCAGCAUGCAGAGGUCCCGAUAUGUGCUGCAUAUAUCCAUCUGGCCGCCAAGAAAUCACCUUGAUCUGAACGAAAAACACACCCCCAGGCUCCCUGUCCAGUAUUCGCAUAAAAGGUGGCAUCAAAGUUAACUUUGACAAAGUCAGCAGGUGGCCGCUGCCAAAUUUCCUUUAACUGAUUAGUGGCUUGCUUGGGCUGAACAACAGCCUGCCUGAAGUCCUGAAUAUGCUGACAAAAAUGGGUAGCACAUCAGCGCACUUGCACCUAGACAUACAUUGACAAGUACUCAGAGAAUACCACAGAACUAUACACAGUGGAGGUAGAGAGCAAAAGGGCGUACACUCAAACAUACUAUAUCUUUACAACAAACUACAAUUUUUCAACAAGAUUUUUUAGUAACGGGGGAUCCAACUGAAGCACACCACCCUUUUUUCCUACAAACAUAAGUAAAAUGAACCUCAAGAGCAAAUCACUAGCGGACUGCAUUUGCACUUCCAUUUAUCUUCACAAAAAGCACAAAAUAGUGAAGUGCAGUAGAGGACGACAUGAACAUCUCAUAGUUGUGCUUGUAGGAGGCCAUUGGGGGAGAACGGUCGGUGGCGCCGGGUGGACAGGGUCGUUGGCGCCACACGGACUGAGGAACGGCCAGAACAGAGCUCCGCCAGCCACCCGGCCACGGGCUUGGUAUCGGGAGUCUUCGAGGUCACGCACUCGACCAGAACGGAGCUCCGCGGGCCACACGGCCAUGGGUUCAGAAUCGGGAGGCUCUGCGGUCGCGCGCCCGCCAGAACAGAGCUCCACCGACCACCCGGCCAUGGGCUCGAAAUCAGGAACUGGGGCAGCCGCUCCACUUGCUUGGGAAAGGCGGGGAGGAGGGGGAGGGGGCGUACGAGCAUGAAAUCGUUCGAGCAGCCAGGGAUCUUAGGCGCGUCGACGUCCUGCGAUGUCGCCACCAGCGGUCGCCCCCGCGAGCGCCGCCUCCGUCGCCCAUCGCCGCACCUAGGAUGGGGUCGGGGUUGCCGGGAGGGAGGCUGGAGGGUGGAGGGAUUGGCUGCGAGCAGCUCCGUCGAUGGCUCGAAUGGCCGACGAAACGGGAAGAGAGAGCGGAGGGAGCUCUUAUUUACUCUUUUAAUAAAACCCAUCAAUUCAACGAAAUGACGCCAACAGUACAACAGCUCGAAUUCAUCAGUUCAACAAUGAUAACAGAAUAAUAUUCUGUUACGCGAAACAGAAUAGCCCAGAUGUAUAUAUAUAUAUAUAUAUAUAUAUAUAUAUAUAUAUGGCUUCUACACAGCAUCUUCAUCAUCAUUAUCAGUACAUCCUACGCAGGUGAGUUAGGAUGCACUUGAUCCCAGGAAGGUAUCUAUCCUUCAAACCAGAGGAGUGCUUCAAACUAACAACAGUACAUAAUAUCCAACAAAAGAGGGUCGUGCUACAGCAGCAGAAUACAUGGCUCAGUCUAGAUAUCAGCACGAAUCAAGUUGUGCAUAUUUGCUGUUGGCAUGAACCACAUCGCCGCAUGUUGGGUUUGCAAAAGCCAUCCAUCGCAUGAAAGCUUGAUGCCUUUCACACACUGAAGAUUAUCUGGCAACAAGCUGUGUCGACGAAUCUCUGGAUAUGGUGAUUCAUGAAAACCAUGGUAUGAUGUGUAAACACAGCCCCCCUCGCGAAUAAAAGUUGAAGGAAAUAUGCCCUAGAGACAAUAAUAAUGUUAUUAUUUUAUUUCCUUAUAUCAUGAUAAAUGUUUAUUAUUCAUGCUAGAAUUGUAUUAUCCGAAAACAUAAUACUUGUGUGAAUGCAUAGACAAACUAAACGUCACUAGUAUGCCUCUACUUGACUAGCUCGUUAAUCAAAGAUGGUUAUGUUUCCUAACCAUAGACAUGUGUUGUCAUUUGAUUAACGGGAUCACAUUAUUAGGAGAAUGAUGUGAUUGAUAUGACCCAUUCCAUUAGCUUAGCACCCGAUCGUUUAGUAUGUUGCUAUUGCUUUCUUCAUGACUUCUACAUGUUCCUAUGACUAUGAGAUUAUGCAACUCCCGUUUGCCGGAGGAACACUUUGUGUGCUACCAGACUUCACAACGUAACUGGGUGAUUAUAAAGGAGCUCUACAGGUGUCUCCAAAGGUAAAUGUUGGGUUGGCGUAUUUCGAGAUUAGGAUUUGUCACUCCGAUUGUCGGAGAGGUAUCUCUGGGCCCUCUCGGUAAUGCACAUCACAUAAGCCUUGCAAGCAUUGCAACUAAUGAGUUAGUUGCGAGAUGAUGUAUUACGAAACGAGUAAAGAGACUUGCCGGUAACGAGAUUGAACUAGGUAUUGAGAUACUGAUGAUCGAAUCUCGGGCAAGUAACAUACCGAUGACAAAGGGAACAACGUAUGUUGUUAUGCGGUCUGACCGAUAAAGAUCUUCGUAGAAUAUGUGAGAGCCAAUAUGAGCAUCCAGGUUCCGCUAUUGGUUAUUGACCGGAGACGUGUCUCGGUCAUGUCUACAUUGUUCUCGAACUCGUAGGGUCCGCACGCUUAAGGUUUCGAUGACAAUUAUAUUAUGAGUUUAUGAGUUUUGAUGUACCGAAGUUAGUUCGGAGUCCCGGAUGUGAUCACGGACAUGACGAGGAGUCUCGAAAUGGUCGAGACAUAAAUAUUGAUAUAUUGGAAGCCUAUGUUUGGACAUCGGAGUGUUCCGAGUGAAAUCGGCAUUUUACCGGAGUACCGAGAGGUUACCGAAACCCCCCGGUAACCUAAUGGGCCUUAAUGGGCCUAGUGGAGGAAGAGGAGAGGAGGCCUAGGGGCUGCCGCGAGCCCCUCCCCCCAAGUCCAAAUUGUACAAGGAAGGGGGGCGGCGCCCCCUUCCUUUCUUCCCUCUCCUCCUUCCCCCCCAAGUCCUAAUCCAACUAGGGAAAGGGAGGGGAGUCCUACUCCCGGUAGUAGUAGGACUCCUCCUGCGUGCCUCCUCCUAGGGCCGACCGCACCCCCCCUUGGCUCCUUUAUAUACGGGGGCAGGGGGCACCGCUAGACACACAAGUUGAUCUCUAAGAUCGUUCUCUUAACCGUGUGCGGUGCCCCCUUCCACCAUAGUCCUCGAUAAUAUUGUAGUGGUGCUUAGGCGAAGCCCUGCGACAGUUGAACAUCAAGAUCAUCACCACGCCGUCGUGCUGCCGGAACUCUUCCCCGACACUUUGCUGGAUCGGAGUCCGGGGAUCGUCAUCGAGCUGAACGUGUGCUAGAACUCGGAGGUGCCGUAGUUUCGGUGCUUGAUCGGUCGGGCCGUGAAGACGUACGACUACAUCAACCGCGUUGUCAUAAUGCUUCCGCUGUCGGUCUACGAGGGUACGUAGGUUACACUCUCCCCUCUUGUUGCUAUGCAUCACGAUGAUCUUGCGUGUGUGUAGGAAUUUUUUUGAAAUUACUAUGUUCCCCAACAGUGGUAUCAGAGCCUAGGUUUUAUGCGUUGAUGUUAUAUGCACGAGUAGAACACAAGUGAGUUGUGGGCGAUAUAAGUCAUACUGCUUACCAGCAUGUCAUACUUUGGUUCGGCGGUAUUGUUGGACGAAGUGGCCCGGACCGACAUUACGCGUACGCUUACGCGAGACCGGUUCUCCCGACGUGCUUUGCACAAAGGUGGCUAGCGGGUGUCAGUUUCUCCAACUUUAGUUGAACCAAGUGUGGCUACGCCCGAUCCUUGCGAAGGUUAAAACAGCACCAACUUGACAAACUAUCGUUGUGGUUUUGAUGCGUAGGUAAGAACGGUUCUUGCUAAGCCCGUAGCAGCCACGUAAAACUUGCAACAACAAAGUAGAGGACGUCUAACUUGUUUUUGCAGGGCAUGUUGUGAUGUGAUAUGGUCAAAGACAUGAUGCUAAAUUUUAUUGUAUGAGAUGAUCAUGUUUUGUAACUAAGUUAUCGGCAACUGGCAGGAGCCAUAUGGUUGCCACUUUAUUUUAUGCAAUGCAAUUGCGAUGUAAUGCUUUACUUUAUCACUAAGCGGUAGCGAUAGUCGUGGAAGCAUAAGAUUGGCGAGACGACAACGAUGCUACGAUGAUGAUCAAGGUGUCGCGCCGGUGACGAUGGUGAUCAUGACGGUGCUUCGAAGAUGGAGAUCACAAGCACAAGAUGAUGAUGGCCAUAUCAUAUCACUUAUAUUGAUUGCAUGUGAUGUUUAUCUUUUAUACAUCUUAUCUUGCUUUGAUUGGCGGUAGCAUUUUAAGAUGAUCUCUCACUAAUUAUCAAGAAGUGUUCUCCCUGAGUAUGCACCGUUGCGAAAGUUCUUCGUGCUGAGACACCGUGUGAUGAUCGGGUGUGAUAGGCUCUACGUUCAAAUACAACGGGUGCAAAACAGUUGCACACGCUGAAUACUCAGGUUAUACUUGACGAGCCAAGCAUAUGCAGACAUGGCCUCGGAACACGGAGACCGAAAGGUCGAGCGUGAAUCAUAUAGUAGAUAUGAUCAACAUAGUGAUGUUCACCAAUGAAACUACUCCAUCUCACGUGAUGAUCGGACAUGGUUUAGUUGAUUUGGAUCACGUGAUCACUUAGAGGAUUAGAGGGAUGUCUAUCUAAGUGGGAGUUCUUUAGUAAUAUGAUUAAUUGAACUUAAAUUUAUCAUAACUUAGUACCUGAUAGUAUCUUGCUUGUUUAUGUUUGAUUGUAGAUAGAUGGCCCGUGUUGUUGUUCCGUUCAAUUUUAAUGCGUUCCUUGAGAAAGCAAAGUUGAAAGAUGAUGGUAGCAAUUACACGGACUGGGUCCGUAAUUUGAUGAUUAUCCUCAUUGCUGCAUAGAAGAAUCACGUCCUGGAAGCACCGCUGGGUGCCAGGCCUGCUGCUGGAGCAACACCAGAUGUUAUGAACGUCUGGCAGAGCAAAGCUGAUGACUACUCGAUAGUUCAGUGUGCCAUGCUUUAUGGCUUAGAAUCGGGACUUCAACGACGUUUUGAACGUCAUGGAGCAUAUGAGAUGUUCCAGAUGUUGAAGUUAAUAUUUCAAGAAAAUGCCCGGAUUGAGAGAUAUGAAGUCUCCAAUAAGUUCUAUAGCUGCAAGAUGGAGGAGAACAGUUCUGUCAGUGAGCAUAUACUCAAAAUGUCUGGGUAUAAUAAUCACUUGAUUCAAUUGGGAGUUAAUCUUCCAGAUGAUUGCGUCAUUGACAAAAUUCUCCAAUCACUGCCACCUAGCUACAAGAGCUUCGUGAUGAACUAUAAUAUGCAAGGGAUGAAUAAGACUAUUCCCGAGCCCUUCGCAAUGCUGAAAGCUGCGGAGGUAGAAAUCAAGAAGGAGCAUCAAGUGUUGAUGGUCAACAAGACCACUAGUUUCAAGAAAAAGGGCAAAGGGAAGAAGAAGGGGAACUUCAAAAAGAACAGCAAGAAAGUUGCUGCUCAAGAGAAGAAGCACAAAUCUGGACCCAAGCCUGAAACUGAGUGCUUCUACUGCAAGCAGACUGGUCACUGGAAGCGGAACUGCCCCAAGUAUUUGGCGGAUAAGAAGGAUGGCAAGGUGAACAAAGGUAUAUACGAUAUACAUGUUAUUGAUGUGUACCUUACUAAUGCUCGCAGUAGCACUUGGGUAUUUGAUACUGGUUCUGUUGCUAACAUUUGCAACUCGAAACAGGGACUACGGAUUAAGUGAAUAUUGGCUAAGGACGAGGUGACGAUGCGCGUGGGAAAUGGUUCCAAAGUCGAUGUAAUCGCGGUCGGCACGCUACCUCUACAUCUACCUUCGGGAUUAGUAUUAGACCUAAAUAAUUGUUAUUUGGUGCCAGCGUUGAGCAUGAACAUUAUAUCUGGAUCUUGUUUGAUGCGAGACGGUUAUUCAUUUAAAUCAGAGAAUAAUGGUUGUUCUAUUUAUAUGAGUAAAAUCUUUUAUGGUCAUGCACCCAUGAAGAAUGGUCUAUUCUUAUUAAAUCUCGAUAGUAGUGACACACAUAUUCAUAAUGUUGAAGCCAAAAGAUGCAGAGUUGAUAAUGAUAGUGCAACUUAUUUGUGGCACUGCCGUUUAGGUCAUAUCGGUGUAAAGCGCAUGAAGAAACUCCAUACUGAUGGACUUUUGGAACCACUUGAUUAUGAAUCACUUGGUACUUGCGAACCGUGCCUUAUGGGUAAGAUGACAAAAACACCAUUCUCCGGUACUAUGGAGAGAGCAACAGAUUUGUUGGAAAUCAUACAUACAGAUGUAUGUGGUCCAAUGAAUGUUGAGGCUCGUGGCGGUUAUCGUUAUUUUCUCACCUUCAUAGAUGACUUAAGCAGAUAUGGGUAUAUAUACUUAAUGAAACAUAAGUCUGAAACAUUUGAAAAGUUCAAAGAAUUUCAGAGUGAAGUUGAAAAUCAUCGUAACAAGAAAAUAAAAUUCCUACGAUUUGAUCGUGGAGGAGAAUAUUUGAGUUACGAGCUUGGUGUACAUUUGAAACAAUGCGGAAUAGUUUCGCAACUCACGCCACCCGAAACACCACAACAUAAUGGUGUGUCCGAACGUUGUAAUCGUACUUUACUAGAUAUGGUGUGAUCUAUGAUGUCUCUUACUGAUUUACCGCUAUCGUUUUGGGGUUAUGCUUUAGAGACGGCCGCAUUCACGUUAAAUAGGGCACCAUCAAAAUCCAUUGAGAUGACGCCUUAUGAACUGUGGUUUGGCAAGAAACCAAAGUCGUCGUUUCUAAAAGUUUGGGGCUGCAAUGCUUAUGUGAAAAAGCUUCAACCUGAUAAGCUCGAACCCAAAUCAGAGAAAUGUGUCUUCAUAGGAUAUCCAAAGGAAACUAUUGGAUACACCUUCUAUCACAGAUCCGAAGGCAAGACUUUUGUUGCUAAAUUCAGAAACUUUCUAGAGAAGGAGUUUCUCUCGAAAGAAGUGAGUGGGAGGAAAGUAGAACUUGAUGAGGUAACUAUACCUGCUCCCUUAUUGGAAAGUAGUACAUCACAAAAACCAGUUUCUGUGACACCUACACCAAUUGGUGAGGAAGCUAAUGAUGAUGAUCAUGAAACUUCAGAACAAGAUACUACUGAACCUCGUAGAUCAACUAGAGUAAGAUCCAUACCAGAGUGGUACGAUAAUCCUGUUCUGGAAGUCAUGCUACUAGAUCAUGAUGAACCUACGAACUAUGAAGAAGUGAUGGUGAGCCCAGAUUCCGCAAAAUGGCUUGAAGCCAUGAAAUCUGAGAUGGGAUUCAUGUAUGAGAACAAAGUGUGGACUUUGGUUGACUUGCCCAAUGAUCGGCAAGCAAUAGAAAAUAAAUGGAUCUUCAAGAAGAAGACUGACACUGACGGUAAUGUUACUGUCUACAAAGCUCGACUUGUCGCAAAAGGUUUUCGACAAGUUCAAGGGAUUGACUAUGAUGAGACCUUCUCACCCAUAGCGAUGCUUAAGUCUGUCCGAAUCAUGUUAGCGAUUGCCGCAUUUUAUAAUUAUGAAAUUUGGCAGAUGGAUGUAAAAACUGCAUUCUGAAUGGAUUUCUGGAAGAAGAGUUGUAUAUGAUGCAGCCGGAAGGUUUUGUCGAUCCAAAGGGAGCUAACAAAGUGUGCAAGCUCCAGCGAUCCAUUUAUGGACUGGUGCAAGCCUCUCGGAGUUGGAAUAGACGCUUUGAUAGUGUGAUCAAAGCAUUUGGUUUAGUACAGACUUUUGGAGAAGCCUGUAUUUACAAGAAAGUGAGUGGGAGCUCUGUAACAUUUCUGAUAUUAUAUGUAGAUGACAUAUUACUAAUCGGAAAUGAUAUAGAAUUUCGGGAUAGCAUAAAGGGAUACUUGAAUAAGAGUUUUUCAAUGAAAGACCUCGGUGAAGCUUCUUACAUAUUGGGCAUUAAGAUCUAUAGAGAUAGAUCAAGAUGCUUAAUUGGACUUUCACAAAGCACAUACCUUGACAAAGUUUUGAAUAAGUUCAAAAUGGAUCAAACAAAGAAAGGAUUCUUGCCUAUGUUACAAGGUGUGAAAUUGAGUAAGACUCAAUGCUCGACCACUGCAGAAGAUAGAGAGAAAAUGAAAGAUGUUCCCUAUGCUUCAUCCAUAGGCUCUAUCAUGUAUGCAAUGCUGUGUACCAGACCUGAUGUGUGUCUUGCUAUAAGUCUAGCAGGGAGGUACCAAAGUAAUCCAGGAGUGGAUCACUGGACAGCGGUCAAGAACAUCCUGAAAUACCUGAAAAGGACUAAGGAUAUGUUUCUCGUAUAUGGAGGUGACAAAGAGCUCAUCGUAAAUGGUUACGUUGAUGCAAGCUUUGACACUGAUCCGGACGAUUCUAAAUCGCAAACCGGAUACGUGUUUACAUUAAACGGUGGAGCUGUCAGUUGGUGCAGUUCUAAACAAAGCAUUGUGGCGGGAUCUACAUGUGAAGCAGAGGACAUAGCUACUUCGGAAGCAACAAACGAAGGAGUCUGGAGAAGGAGUUCAUAUCCGAUCUAGGUGUCAUACCUAGUGCAUCGGGUCCAAUGAAAAUCUUUUGUGACAAUACUGGUGCAAUUGCCUUGGCAAAGGAAUCCAGAUUUCACAAGAGAACCAAGCACAUCAAGAGACGCUUCAAUUCCAUCUGGGAUCUAGUCCAGGUGUGAGACAUAGAGAUUUGCAAGAUACAUACGGAUCUGAAUGUUGCAGACCCGUUGACUAAGCCUCUUCCACGAGCAAAACAUGAUCAGCACCAAAGCUCCAUGGGUGUUAGAAUCAUUACUGUGUAAUCUAGAUUAUUGACUCUAGUGCAAGUGGGAGACUGAAGGAAAUAUGCCCUAGAGGCAAUAAUAAUGUUAUUAUUUUAUUUCCUUAUAUCAUGAUAAAUGUUUAUUAUUCAUGCUAGAAUUGUAUUAUCCGGAAACAUAAUACUUGUGUGAAUGCAUAGACAAACUAAACGUCACUAGUAUGCCUCUACUUGACUAGCUCGUUAAUCAAAGAUGGUUAUGUUUCCUAACCAUAGACAUGUGUUGUUAUUUGAUUAACGGGAUCACAUUAUUAGGAGAAUGAUGUGAUUGACAUGACCCAUUCCAUUAGCUUAGCACCCGAUCGUUUAGUAUGUUGCUAUUGCUUUCUUCAUGACUUGUACAUGUUCCUAUGACUAUGAGAUUAUGCAACUCCCGUUUGCCGGAGGAACACUUUGUGUGCUACCAAACAUCACAACGUAACUGGGUGAUUAUAAAGGAGCUCUACAGGUGUCUCCAAAGGUAAAUGUUGGGUUAGCGUAUUUCGAGAUUAGGAUUUGUCACUCCGAUUGUCGGAGAGGUAUCUCUGGGCCCUCUCGGUAAUGCACAUCACAUAAGCCUUGCAAGCAUUGCAACUAAUGAGUUAGUUGCGAGAUGAUGUAUUACGAAACGAGUAAAGAGCCUUGCCGGUAACGAGAUUGAACUAGGUAUUGAGAUACCGACGAUCGAAUCUCGGGCAAGUAACAUACCGAUGACAAAGGGAACAACGUUUGUUGUUAUGCGGUCUGACCGAUAAAGAUCUUCAUAGAAUAUGUGGGAGCCAAUAUGAGCAUCCAUGUUCCGCUAUUGGUUAUUGACCAGAGACGUGUCUCGGUCAUGUCUACAUUGUUCUCGAACCCGUAGGGUCCGCACGCUUAAGGUUUCGAUGACAGUUAUAUUAUGAGUUUAUGAGUUUUGAUGUACCGAAGUUAGUUUGGAGUCUUGGAUGUGAUCACGGACAUGACGAGGAGUCUCGAAAUGGCCGAGACAUAAAGAUUGAUAUAUUGGAAGCCUAUGUUUGGACAUCGGAAGUGUUCCGGGUGAAAUCGACAUUUUACCGGAGUACUGGGAGGUUACCGAAACCCCCCGGUAACCUAAUGGUCCUUAAUGGGCCUAGUGGAGGAAGAGGAGAGGAGGCCUAGGGGCUGCCGCGCGCCCCUCCCCCCCAAGUCCGAAUUGGACAAGGAAGGGGGCGGUGCCCCCCCUUUCCUUUCUUCCCUCUCCUCCUCCCCCCAAGUCCUAAUCCAACUAGGGAAAGGGAGGGGAGUCCUACUCCCGGUAGGAGUAGGACUCCUCCUGCGUGCCUCCUCCUAGGGCCGGCCACACCCCCCUUGGCUCCUUUAUAUACGGGGGCAGGGGGCACCCCUAGACACACAAGUUGACCUCUAAGAUCGUUCUCUUAACCGUGUGCGGUGCCCCCUUCCACCAUAGUCUUUGAUAAUAUUGUAGUGGUGCUUAGGCGAAGCCCUGCGACAGUUGAACAUCAAGAUCAUCACCACGCCGUCGUGCUGACGGAACUCUUCCCCGACACUUUGCUGGAUCGGAGUCCGGGGAUCGUCAUCGAGCUGAACGUGUGCUAGAACUCGGAGGUGCCGUAGUUUCGGUGCUUGAUCGGUCGGGCCGUGAAGACGUACGACUACAUCAACCGCGUUGUCAUAACGCUUCCACUGUCGGUCUACGAGGGUACGUAGAUUACACUCUCCUCUCUCAUUGCUAUGCAUCACCAUGAUCUUGCGUGUGCAUAGGAAUUUUUUUGAAAUUACUACGUUCCCCAACAAAAGUUGCAUAGCACAGUAAUCAUCGCCGGUGAUAUGAUGGAUGAUUGGUUGGAUGAUCGGAUAAUUGAGCCCGAGGAACAAGGAGUGGUUGCCGAGGCUGUAAACCCGCCUCUAGUUGAAUACGCCUGGCCCAAUGGAGCUGGGAUCUUUCUCGAACACGAAGCAGCCAUAGCCAUCAAUGUCACGAACGCCCCAUGCAUUGUACUACAUGUGGUUUGAUGUAAUGGUUUGGUCAAUUUGGUACGUGCGAAUGAGCAUCAAAUGACCACCGUCAGCUGAACGAGCGAUAAACCACCACCCAUCGGCUGGUAUGAUUCCAGGUCCUGGAAUCAUGAAGGGCAGCGCAUUUGCGUCUGCUGCAACAAUUCAAAUUGGAGACCAAAAGGACAAAAAUAAACAAUCAUGUUCAGAGUAUGUGUGGAAUUAAGAUUAUUAUAACAGUGACACAUAUCAUAGACAGAGAAUUGCAAUGCCGUGGUCAUAAUCAUACCCCAAGUUAAAAAAUAAGCCAAUGGCUUUCAUAUUCUAGCAAUGUGUCAUGGUUCAAACAUCAUGUAACAAUGAGAGGUAAACAGCUAUGACAACACCUACUCAUAUUCUACCAUAGCACUUACUACUACUGUUCUCAUAUCAACUCUAAGCAAUAACAUGCAUUGUUAUAAAAUCUUGUAAACAAGAGUAACAUAUAGCAAUCAUGAUGUUAUGCUCAUAAUAUGUAUUCGAACAAUCAUUAUAUGCCAAUUGUUCUCAUAUCAACUCUAACAAUAACAUGUGUGGUCAUAAAAAUCUAGGAAAUGAGAGGAACAUAUAGCAAUGAUGUGGUUAUAGACAUGCUAUGCAUUCUAAAUUUGUAACAAAUGAACAGGCAGUCAUAUUCAUAAGGUAAAUAUGAGAUGAGAUAGAAAAAUUACACAACGAUAGAUUCCACCAGUAUAGGUAGCCAAUCUGUGCGUCGACCGCGUAAACGAUGCCAUCAUGCACUAUAGCAUCAGACAUAAAUGUUUCCUCAGUAGGAUUGAUGAUGAGCCAUAACCAUGUAUGGCGACCGGAUUCUAGAUAGACUAAUCCCUUGUUGAACAAGGCAAUGAGCUUGUAAUCCAUGUAGUCUUCUGAUGGUGUGGGCAGUUCGCAGAUUACAACUUUCUGCAAACAAAGGUCGAGCCAAAAGCUUCACACGUCUCGUGCGUAGUAGGCAGGAGUGUCCAGCGGGCCGCGAGGCUCGAUGGAGGCGGUAUCCAAAGAUGGAAGGGUGAUCUCUCGCUGGGUGUAGAUAUCCACGAGACGCCAUGGACUACCAGAUUGUUGGAUGAGGACGACCCAGUUGGCCUUCAUGCCCGCCCAGUAGUGGCCGCGCAUGAAGGGUAGGUGGACGGGUAGUGGUAGCAUGUCGAGGGGCACCACAACAACCUCCGUAGGAUCGUCAAGUCGGUGUCUGGGCCACCUGCGAGGAUCGAGCAUCAGCAAGCAGGGUGUCUUGAAAAGAGCCGACCGGUUGCAGACGAGUAGACGGUACAAAGACACCGAGCAUGCGGCCAGACAGACGGUGCUGAGUAGGUCCAUACGACUACAGAUCUGCUCCAAGAGAACAUCGGGGAGGGAAUUCCAAUCGCGGCUCUGCGUGUCAGUCGGUUCUGCCAUUGGGGUUUUCGGUGCCUGCGAGCCAGCGGGGAAGUGGAUCUGGGCGGGCGAGCGAAGAAGCUUCUCCUCGUGUGGCCGAGCAGUGAGCGGGGGGAUAUGGUACGCGCGAGCUACCAAGGAAGAUGGCGCAGGCGGGCGAGCAGUGAGCGGGGGUAAAUGGUGUGCGGCCGAUCAUGUGGAAGAGAGGAGGAAGAAGACUGGAAGACGGGGAAGAAAGUGCAUUCAAUCUCAAUCCUACUAGUACUACUACCAGGAUAUACCGUCCUUCGGAGUGUAAAUAGUUACACCGAUGACAUGUGGGUCUACCACAACAGGGGCCACAUGUCAGUUAAUGGAGGACAGAGGUGCGUAGGCGUAUUUGAGGAAGCGUGCUCUACUAGCAAACAUGAUGGCAGUACUUGGUAAGGCUAAUUUAGUAACACCAACACACUGGUUCAGCUUAUUAAUUACGUGUCCCAUCUGCUGCAGCGUGUAUUGUCACUUCACUGCGAAGACUAGUUGAAUAGUUCUCUCUGACCGAGAUGGGGAAUAAAUGGAUCGCGAGGACUUCCUUUCUACAGUAUCCCUAUGCCUCUAUGCUCACUUCACUCAUUUUGCUCCGUACCUAGUCACUUGUUGAAAUCUGUAGAAAGACAAAUACUCCGUAUUUGAGAGCAGAGGGAGGCUUUUACUCCGUACUACUCCCUCCGUUCCAAAAUAGAUGACUCAACUUUGUACUAUAUUUGGGAACAGAGGGAGUAUCACCAUAUGGAGGGAAUAGAUGAAGCUUGAAAUAUGAACAUGUCAAUGGGAGGGAGUAAGCCCCAUGCAUGCAUGCAUGCAUGCAUGCAACAUGCAACACUCACACGUACACAUGGACGCACGCAACACUCACGCACCCAUGCGGCACACAGCACACGACGCAACACACACGCUCACGCUCAAGUGCUCAACCUACUCCCUACGUCCGUGAAAGACUGUACAUUUAGAGAUUUACACAUUGACCAGGGCAUAAUUAAUGCCCAAAAGUAGCAGACUUAUGUGUGCAUGCGACCAUUGAGAUAAGAAGAUUAAAUGAAGGCCGUUGCAUGUUGUAAUUAAGGAUAGACAUGUAGCCUAUACCUAUAGCACAAGUUGAUGCAUUAGUCAAUCAAUAUCGAUUUAGUAGAUUAAAGGCUAAAUGCAUUGGAAGUUUAGAUGUACAUCAUGUAGUACACUCUUUGUUGGAAGACCGAGGGAGGACACGUGCAUGCACUCACAUACACAGCCAGGGCGGUUCGCGCGCAAGGGUUGGACUCGUGUAGCACCCGCGUAAAGUUUUGUUUAACUGAUUUCUUUGCUCUGCCAACUGACAGAUGGGACCCAGAAACCAGGUGACAAUUUAACCAGUCAACAAAGUGCCACGUCUACUAUGUGGCCGGUCAGUAGGGUGCAAUACGGUGCUCUACGAUGAGCUAGUGAUCGCAUAAUCGCCGCAAAACUAUAUAUAGUGACCGUAAAGAGCGUACUGUUACAUAUGUUGACCGCCAGUGUAUUUUUCUCGUUUCAAAUUAAGCCAUAUUAAUCGGAAAGGACGCAGUAUGGACUACUACUAGUAGUAUUAGUACUGCUUUGAUUAGUCCCAUCAACUCGCCGAACGAGGAGAAGCUUGCUUACUACGCCUCUCCCUCGCCCACGCGCGCGGUGGUUCACAGGACGAGGAGAGGGUUUUGACUACAACGCCCUCUCCCUCUCCCUCGCCCUUGCCCUCGCGGUGGACGUGCAACAGUUCAAUCGGUGUCAGAUUGCCAGAAGCAUAUUGUACUGUAGUACCAUCAUUGUUGGACCUUCCGAAGAGGCGAAGAGCCAAGUGCAAGGUUCACACGAGUACGAACUGUUGAACCUCCCAAAGAGGCAAAGAGCUAAGCGCAAGGUUUUAUAGGAGUUGUUGUCCUAGUAGGAGUGUACUAGUACAACUAUAGCGAAUGAUGCUACUGUAUGAUGCCGCCACGUCACGUAUAUCCAAAGCUGUGCCACCUUUUUUUCUCAAAGAGCGUGUUGGAGCCCGUGCAACAACCACACAAGUUGCACGUAGACAUAAGACAUUUACUAGUAAUAAAUUCUAAAGGACAAAUGCAAGUAUGCCACACAAGUUCAUCUCCAACUCAUGUGAUAAAUUUGUGCACAAGUAGUCUACAUAUAUUCACAGCGCUACCGUUCACAAUUACCGUACUCCACUUACACGUUAUAGAUGGGCUACAUGUCCUCCUCCAGGUUCCAGUCACAGGUGUUCUUCAUGGAUGGCAUGAUCCAUACGGUGGGCAAUGGGAAUCAUUGUCGCAACUUUCUAGUCUGGUUCCACAUGAUGGAGACUCAUCCAAGCUGAAGCGGCAUAAAUCAGGGAUAGCGUGUCCUAGCAUGUCGUUCAUUCGGCGGUGCGCACUGAAGACACAACCAUGCUUCAUGAACGGCAGGCCUUCCAUGUCGUGCACGGAAGGUGGCAUCCGCUUCACAAUGGGGUAGCUGUCCCCGAUGAAAAGCGAGUACUCUCCAAGAGUGUUCCUCGGCACCCACGUAGCAUCACGGGGGUCGAACUCGGCGCCGUUCAUCUGGUACACGCGACAUCCCAGAUCUGGACACAUGGUGAUGUACAUAGUCAAGGUCCAUGCAUAAUAAUGUUGUGCUCAAAUGUGGCGGUCAGUAAUACUGUGCAUCAAAUAGUACUACUCUGGUAUAGAGGAAGUAAAAUAACCGACUUAUUAUAUAUAGCCACUCUUGGCUACAUGGAUGAGAUGGCAAGACAUGGAAAAACAAAAAAGGUGGCAGCUAGUGGGUUCAAGUCUUCAAGGGCCUAGCUAGCUAUACGCGUCCUCCAAGGUAAAAAGUACUCCUACUAGUACUACAAAGUAUACUACUAGUACAACAAUGAAAGAGAAGGUGAGAGGGUUAAAAAAAUGGAAUACCUGGGUAGAUGGUGGUGGUUCGAUCGUGGUAGAUUAUGUGACCAUGUUGCACAUCAGUGGUACCAUGGGUAACGACUGCUAAGAUAGUUGAUCCCAAUAUGCCAAAGUCAGCUACAAGGUUCCAGGUUAGACCAAAUCGCGGAUGCAAAUGCACAUCCAGGAUCGGCGAUCUUAUUUUGAUCGGGGGAUGACUGGUCCCUACAAAAUAAUGGAGUACCGUUAGGGAUGCAAAUGAUGGUUUGUGCAUUCCGUUUGUAAUCUCCCGUACCGUAGGAUGUCAACCAGAUGAAACAAGUCCCCUGGCUUGUCACCGCGAAGAUCCGGACUAGAUAGCGCACGGCGUCUUCGAACAUGUAGGGGUACAAAUCUGCCGCCGCCAACAUGCGCCAGCCUCUGCCAUUACUGCCUCAUGCAUUGAUGGCAAUCCUUAUGUCGAACACCGCGAUGAGAUAGUAAUCGUCAUAGCCGCGUCACUUUGUCGGUGGGUCUGCAAUUGCUAUCUUCUUAAAUCUCAUGUAGGCAUCAUCAUACGUAUUCUUGCCCAGCCAGUCCGGAAGGCCGAUCCCAAUGGUGGAGAAGGGGUCUACCGGAACGGCCGCACUGCUGUGGAUGUUGUGCAAAAUCAUGGUGGUAUCUGGCCGGAGGUAUGCAAGCCAAUCUUCAUUGGCACCGACCCAGACCUAUAUAUAAGACGGUGGGCAGCGGAGAAAUUAUAGGAUGGAAAUGGAAUAACUAAGUACUACAUGAUCAAACUCCAUUACUGACCUGCUCAUCAGACAAAAUCCGACUACCUCUCAACGUCGUCAACUCUAGAGGAGUCAACGUGCAACCACGGCCAGGGAGCGGUGGACUGUUCAAAGAAUUGUCCCAUAGAAGAACCUUCUCCUCGAGGACGCAUGGAAGACCAACAAGCAUGGCCUUUUCCCAAGCCUGUUUAAGCAGCGUCUUGAAAAAGUUGGUGCAGGAAGCACCGAGUCUUGCGGCGGUGAGGACGUCGAAGCGGCGUGCGAUUUCUCCCAGAGAAUCGUCGUCCAAGGUCUCCCGGCCCCGACGAGGAGGAGAACCGCCUGGCGAAUCCAUGGGAGUAGCGACGAACUGCCUUCUCUUCGGGGGAAGGGGAACUGGCGAGGAGGAGAUAAGAGCGUAGUAACCGCAGGGCCUCGUCCCUUCCAACUGUAGAUCGUUCCUCAGCGACGGGGUGAGGCUAUUAUUUACUACUCUAAAUAAUAGCACUAGUAAGAAAUUUUUGGCACUAGGUAGUAGUUUUUGGUACCAUGGAGUACUAGUAUUAGCAUUAUGGAACAUUAUGUGAUUGCAUUAUACUGUAAAUAAUAGCACUAGUAAGAAAUUUUUGGCACUAGGUAGUAGUUUUUGGCGUGGAUUAAGAAAUUUUGGGUAUGUUUUUGCCAUUUUUUGUACAUGCCAACUAGUGUCAAAAAACGUCGUACAUUAUGUGACGGAGGAGUACGUACUCGUACUAUAGCAGUACUAGUACUACUUUUCUCAACUACUCCUCAAAAAAGCACCCAAUUAAUGCUCUUGUUUUCCUCAAAAAAGUAUGUUUACCAAUGCAUUAAUUGCAAUGCAUGCAUGCAUAAAUUACAUUCAUUGGUCAAUUUUCUCUUAAUACUUGCAUGCAAUGAUUUAAUGCACCUUGGAAUCUGAACAUGUGAUGGGAAACAACCAAAUUGAGCCUUAUAAAAUGGAAAAACUAAAAUUUUGAGAUGAGCCCUAUAAACCGAAAAGGAGGGAGUACUGUACUUCUAGUCUAGUCUUGUAUAGUGCACCAGUUUUGAACUCUUGAAUCUCAGGGCCAAGGAGCUACAGUUGGAAGUGGAGGGUACUACUGUUCUCUAGAACCAUUGCUGUACUAUCAAUGCAGGGGAAGUACACCUGCAUAGUGGCCUGGUGGGUACUCUCGGUGCUCUAUUCAGCCGCUCCUCUCACGUAGCUGGCCUACUCAGCCGCUCCUCUCACGCACACACUAGCAGCCUGUUUAUCAGCGACGGUUACUGCGGGGGCAGAACAUUUGAGUUAUUUGAUACAGCGAGACUAGGCUUUUUGCUUCCAUUUGUGGAGGUGUAAUGGAUCUCGUCGAACUUUGUUAGUAGUUCCUUCUUUAUGAAUGAGAUGAAGCAAAGCUUUUGCCUCCAUUUCAAAAAAAACACGUCAAGAGGAAUUUCUUUUAUAGUAGAGCCGAUAAUGGAGUGAAGUCCAUGCAUGCAACGCCACAAGCUACAGAGUAGUAGUAGAGCACUUUACGUACAGAGCCAUAUUGCACAGUUCCCAAUGCCCCGCCAGGCUUUUCUGGCUCCCCGGGCUUAAUUGGGAGGCACUAGUUUAAAUAUGCUACUAGCUGGAAGCUGCAAGCGAGGUGCGGCUAGGGCAAGCACGCGAGCCACGGGAUGCUGGGAAGGAAAACCCGUUCACGUGGCUAGGCUAUCCAGACUCCAGUGCACCCAGAUUGUGGGGCCGCACGUCCGUUUGACUUGAAAACUCAAACUACCCGUGUAAAAUAUUGGCUCGCAGCAAAGUGUAGUACUCCCUCCGUUCCGAAUUACUUGUCGUAGGUAUGGAUGUAUCUAGAUGUAUUUUAGUUCUAGAUACAUCCAUUUCUGUGAUGUAUCUAGAUAGUAUACUAUUUAAAAAAAGGCCGCCGUGCGUUCGGCCAGGAUCGAACCCACAAAACGAGGUAUACACUCCCGCGACCACUAGUAGUACUCGUUGGAGUACAACGCAACCUAGAAUCGCCUUUUAUCGCUAGUAGUACGUACAUUGUUCCUUACAAGAAACCCCUAAGAGCAUGGUUAAUAGUAUAGCCAGCUGCUGGCUAUAAGCCAGUGCCAUGUCAUCUACAACCCAUCUUAUAGCCAACAUGUAGUAGUAGUUUAUUUCUUAUAGCCCGCUGACUCAGCUCUAUUGUACUUGCUCUAAUAAUGCAAGAAACCACUAAAAUGCCAAGAAACUACUACCACUUGCAUACGUGGCAGACUUAAGAUAAUACUACCUUAUCAACCAUUGUACUCCUCUUACCAACAAAAAUCCUCGAGUGACCUCCUACCUCCGGCCCGUCCACCUAGUCAUCCUCGGCCAUGGGACGUAGCUACCGCCGCCGGCAGAAGGCAAGGUCAAAACCGCCGGCGGUGCGGAGCCCAUGUUGCGGCAACCCGGAUGCCAGCUCUGUCCGGCGCUCGCGACCGCUAGCUAGCCAAGAUAGCUCCGUCCAGCUGCUUGUCUGCAAGGUUUGCUAGCUAGAUUGGCAUGGCAGCGUGGCGGCUUGCUCGCGCGUGCCGCACUAAGGCCAGCCAUCUGGCUCGAGCGAAGGCCAGUGUGGCGGCUUGCUCGCUCGUGAUUCACGCUCGGGCCAGCCUGCCAACCCGUGCGGAGGCCAGCGUGGCAUCCGGCCCGUCCGGCGGAGCAGCGGCCAACUCGCUCAUCACCGGCGCCACCGACGAACACGCAUCAGUACUGUUUGAAGUAAUGUCCAAGAAAAAUAAUGAUUUGAGGGGGAAUAACAUGAUAGAAGGUCAGAUGUGGGUCCCUCGUGUCAACGGUCAAACAAAAUGUGUUGGUUUAAGCUGCCUCGUCAACACGGACAUGUGGGCCAACCCUGUCAUAAAUGGGUUAAAACGAACCUAAUUGGUAGGAGUACUAGGUAGUUUUUGGCAUGGAUUAAGAAAUUUUGGGUAUGUUUUUGCUAGUUUUUGUACAAUAGAUUCCUCCUAGGGCUGGUUGAAAGUGGUAGUUUUUUUGUUAAAUACUCUACAUAUUGUAAGUAGGAGUGAAAGUUAAGCUUUGGAAGCCAAUAAGCAAGGCUAGUUACAUAGUGCAUAUGUGUACAUGAUUGAAAGUAAAUAUCAACCAUGAGUGACUAAUAUCUUGAUGGAAAACUCAAAACUAUGGAAUACUAGGAGAAGAAAUGCAUGGUUGGAAAUACUAGCAAUGUUCAUGUCUGUUGCAACAAAUCACAAUUAGAAUAAUACUUAUUCACAAACUUGGUACAAAACACUCUAAUUUUGAUAUACAUAUGUCACUAGAGAUAUAUUAUGUUUCAAUUAGAAUAUAUUCCUUGGGCUAUUUUGGUGAGGUCAGGGAGGGAUGUGGUUGGUUUUAAGAUACUAAUUAUGGGUGUCGGGGGUUUGGUGCGACAUAUGCCAACAGAUGGCUUAUCAUGGUGGGGGCGAGUAGAAUGUCACCGGUGCCUGGAAAUCGGAUGAGGCGAAGACAUGCACGCUGGCGAAUCUUACCCAGCUUCAGGGCUCUCCGGGGAGAUAACACCCCUACUGCUGCUCUGCGGGGUCUCCGCAUGAUCACUAAGGCCAAGUGUUUACAAGGUUGCUCCUUGAGCUGUUUCGAGUGGUAGGAGAGGGCAAGGCUAGCUCUCUCCCUCUAUCUAGCGUGGUAUAGAACUAUCGGGAUCCAACCCUUUGCAUGGGUGUCCUGGGGGGUUUAUAUAGGCCUACCCCCCAGGGGUACAAUGGUAAUGUGACUGGGCGCGGGCCCAGCCGUCAGUGUCUCCAACCUCUGACUUCUCCGCCGACUGGUGGGCCCCGCCGACUAGUCCGGUACGGAGCCGACAGGCCGCGUCCGCCGUGGGCGGGUCUUGCCGGCUGCUGAUCACUAUAGCCGUGCUCCUGAUGACGCAGGCUUGGUCAUGGGGUCGUGGCAACAGCCCCGCCGCCUGGCGGGCGAUCACUGUGGCCACUCCCCAUCUCUUCUUGAUUAAUGACGCGCGGGCCCCAGGGGAGGGCUCGGCCGACUCUCCCGGGCCGACUCCGACGGGUCCGACUGGUGGUUCUCCCGCCGUCUCCCGAGGUCUCGCUGGCUUGUGGGCCCCGCUGCCUGCAGGCCGUACAGACAAGCCGUCGUGGGCGCAGGACCAGGUACAGUGGUGCUGAUGUCAGGGCCGGCUGGGCAACAGUGCCAUGUCGCAGGGAGAUCUUCCCCAGUACGGCGCGCUGUAGCCAUGCCUGCCCUUGGUAAGGGGCGGGGAGUGGGCUUCAUGGUAGCUGCGCCCCUUCCCCGCCCCCCUCGAUGAGGUCACGGUUUGUUGGAGUCGCCGGCCGACUCCUCAAAGCCGGCUUCUUUGGAAGUUGCCUCUGGGACUCGGCCGUGUGCGGGCAGUCGGCCGCCUUGCCGCAGACCCCCCAGGAGGCGGCUCCUCGCCCUGUGGUCUUAAGGGGCGCAGCCUGCCCCGAUGUCUUGAAAGGUUAUGGGGCUCGGGUUGGCCUACCCGUGGCCCAUUACUCUGACAGUAGUCCCCGAAGCUGGUGAGGCGCCGCGGACGAUCUGCCGAGAAGCCUCAGCAGUUUCCCUCUCCGGAUGCUCAAUGCAUGGUCUUGAUUGACUUCCGCCGGGCCGACUAGACGGAGUCGGACUCGCCCGACUCGGGCUCACUCUAUUCUGACUUGCUCAGUAGUUCGAACGUCGCGGCGGGAUUUCAAGUGGCGUGCUAGGUAAGCUUCCAGGCCGCCGCCCGUUCUUGGUCUGUCACGCGAGGGCACGUGGCUAGGCCGUCCUGCAAGCCCACGCGCGCGACGGGACAGGCUCGUAGGUGGGGCCCGCCACUACUGCGCCUCGGCGCCCGAGCGGAUCCGCUGUGGCCCCGGUGGACGGUUAGGAUUCCUAUGGAGUUACCGCGCGCAGUAACUUUGCAGGGAUCAUGGGGGGCAUGGGGUUGUGGGCGCAGUAAAUCCCCACGCCCGCCCCCUCGGCUGCGCAGCCCCAAGGGCUAUAAGUAGGGGGAAGAGGGGGGCACGCGCACCCCUCCUUCCCACUGCCCCUUGCUUUCUUCCUCCUCGCAGAUCCUUCGCUCUCCUGCAUCCUCCUCUCUCCUUCGCUCCGCCGCACGCCCAAGCUCCGGCGCACGCUGCAGUGAUAGCUCGCGACGAUGAGCUCUUCCUCUGCUGCCGUGCCUCCCCCAGUACGCUCCGGCACUUGGGACGGCUCCGAAGUCCACGAAGACCAUAUCGAGUUCCUCCGCCGGACCCGUCGUCUUUCCGGCGAGGAUCGCGUGCAGGUGCGCCUCGCACUGGAGGGGGAGAUUUCCCCCGCCCCGCAGGAGGGUGAGCGGGUCAUCUUCCGCUCGCACUGCCUGCGCGGGCUGGGGCUACUGGCGAGCAGCUUCUUCCGGUCGUUCAUGGAGUUCUACGGCCUCCAGCCGCACCACCUCACCCCCAACACAGUGGUGCUGCUGUCCGCCUUCGUGGCUCUGUGCGAAGGCUUCCUCGGAGUCCUCCCCACCCUCGAGCUCUGGGGGGAGUUCUUCUUCUCCAAGCUCGGCACCCAGGCUGCGGGUGUGCCGGCUCAGUGCAGCGCCUUCAUCGCUGUGCGAAGGACAGGAGCCGACAACCACUUCCCCUCCAUCGCGCUGCUGAAGUCAGUGAAGAUGUGGCAGUGGUCCUACUUCUACGUCAGGAACGUCGCCACGCGGGGCGACUGGGUCAAUCUGCCGGCUGGCAGACUGCCCAACUGGUCGUACCGGGCUAGGUGGCUGACACCUGCGGGAGCCGGCGCCAUCACGCAACUCCGAGUGCUGACAUAGUCAGAGGGUCUGACUGGCCCAGACCUGCUGCCCGCCUUCGUCUCGCGCCGAGUUCUCCCACUCCAAGGCUGCCCUCACCUGAUAUGCCAGAUGAGCGGGGGCCGCGACCCGAGUCGGAUGUGCACCAAGGACAUGCCUCACGAAGAGGUGGCCCUGAUGGUGAACUACCUCUCGGACAGCAGGCUCCCGGAGGACUGGCGAUUCGGCAAGGAGCCAUACUCCCACGCCAACCCUCCGCCCGUGGUGAGUCGCCUUUCUUUUCUUUAUUUGGAUUGUCUUCUUCUUGCCGAGUUUUGUUCUGAUCAGUCUGCUUUUGGUUAGAAUCCCCUUCUUCACCCACCAGUCGGCACCUCGGGGCCGGGCCGUGAGUUCGCCGCCGACCGGGCGGAGAGCGACGUCGACGACCCCGAUCUGGGGGUGGCGGCUCUGGAAGACGACGCCGAGGGAGGAGGAGGGACGACAGGCGACUUCAGGCCCUCGGCCACCUUUGUCGACUAGCCUGAAGACGACGCCGAGGAAGGAGUCACCCCUCGCCAUCGACCGGGAGCCAGCCAGCUGGGCGCGGGCUCUUCUGCCGCGUCGGGCGCUCUAGGCGGCGGGAAGAAGCGCCGGGCUGCACCGACUUUGUUCGGCAGCUGGCCAAAGAAGCCCAAGGGCUCGGCUGCGGCGACCCGGCGGGACGAGGCGGCCUCGAAGGCCAUUCGCUUCUGUAAGGAAGUGAAGAAGCCGCCGUUGGUCUCUGCGUAAGUAUUUUGUCUUCAAAGUUUGUUCUUUCUUCGUGCUUUGUCUGAAUCUCUGCUCGCCCCUCUUUCUUCAGGGAUCCCCUCUCUCUGGAGCGGGUUGCUGCCGCCUCCGUCAUGGGGUCAGUGGAGACACCCGCCACCACUCGCGGAUAGACCCCGCUGCCGACCUCCGGGAGGCGAGGGAGCGGAAUGCGCAGGAGAAGCGCAAUGAAGAAGAAGCCGUCCGCCUGGAGAAGGCGGAGGCCGACAGGGCGGAGGCCUCCGCCAAGAAAAAACUAGCAGAGGCCGAAGCCGCCGCCGCAGCGAAGCAGCAGGCUGAGGAAACCGCACGCCGCCAGUCGGUCUUGCUUGUUAUCCCGCUGAACUCUGCGCUGCCGCCGCCGGAGUUCACGGGGCAGACUGGAGGAGCUGGCGGGGAGAACCUCGUCGAGGAGAGGGAAGGCGGCGAGCCCUCUACUCCGGGCGUGAACGUUCCGCCGCCGCCUCCGCCGUCGUCUGAAGGCGUGCGAGGCGAGCGGCCAGUGGACCCUCCGGUGCCGCCGACCGAAGACGAGGCCGUGGCGAGGCUACUCCUCCAGGUCGGCUCGCCAGCGCGCCGUCUUCGGGAGAAGGCGACUUCGGCACAUCGCCCCCUGGAAGCCGGCACGGCUAGCUCGGCGGCUCCAGACGGCGAGGCGACGAGCGCCACACCCGUUGGGUGGGUGCGGGGAGGCGGCACAGGGCCGCUGAACCGGGCGCUCCUGGACGUCUAGGCGAAGCUCUGCGCUGAGGGCGACGCCCUCCAGAGCUGCACCAAGGCUCGCCACCGAUGCCCCCCGAACUCUUGAUGAGCACAUCUUGAACAUCGAGGCUCGCCUCCGGCCGGCUCACUGAAUGCUGCGCCGGCUUCAGCGCGUCAGCGCCCAGGCGAUUUCCGCCCUUUGGCCGGAUAUGCAGGCUCCGCGCACCCCCAGCCUGACGGCCAACUGGAUGGAGGUUGCGGCUGGUCGCCUUGAGGCUUGGAAGGGCUCUUCGGCCCGGGCUGGAGUGCGCCGGGCCUUAGAGUUCGUUAAGGCGUGGUACCCGGGGCUGGAUCUGGACCGGUUGGCCAUGCUUCGGUCGGAGGCCCAGUCGGAGCUGGUGGCUGCAAAAGACGCCCUCGUCAAGCGUGCUGCAGCGAUCGCCGAGUACAUCGACACAAGCAUCUUCGUCCCCGAGCGGUCUGAAGACGGCAAGGAGUUACCGCCAGAGUGGUUUGGGAUGAACCCAGACUACGGCGAAGACUCGGCGGAGGUGAUUGGCUCCAGCUUCGAGGAGGAGGAUGAGGCGGAGGACGAGGGCGAGGUGGAGGCGCCAGAAGACGGACCAGACGGCCAGCCUCAGCCCGACCGCGCCUCCAGCAACGAGCCGCGUGCAACUGACCCGACUGCUACUGGAGGCGAUCAAGCCAAGACUAGCUGGCCGACCGCCCCGACGCCUGAUGCUGGCGCCUCCUGCGACCCCCCGAACCCGUCUGCCGCCUCCUAGGCUGCGCUGUGUCUCUUGUUUUAUCUGCUUCAGUAGUCUUUUGAAGAACUUGUUAAUUCGCACAAUUCCACCCAUAAGGUGUAUUUUGAACCUCUAUUUGACAAUUCGGCGAAGGGCCCAUGUUAUGUAUAUAUGUCUAUCUUUUCUUGCUCAUUGUUCUUUUGGCUGUUUUCCUUUGCCGCUUUCUCCUAGUUGCCUGCCUUGCCAAUCGGACAGCCGCUCUGCGGACUAUUGCUGGAUCAAGUACUAGGCUACUUUGGGGAAGCAAGUACUUAGCCGAUUUCAAGAUUGUUUGAGCAAGUUGGAUAGAAAACGACAAUCCGACUGUCUGAGAGUCGGUUCGCGAGAAAGGCUAGAAGUCGCCCUGAGCUAUGUUUUAUGCUUUGAGUCCUUAGCCAUUUUUUGUGCGAGCACCCAUUCUACCUUACGUCUGCCCACCGUUCAGUCGUUUUGCGAGCUGUGGCUUCUGGCAGAAGAUGGCUUAGAUGCUACACACUACUUGUCCGGCUGCAGGAAGCAUUUCAUAGUGCAAGGAGGCGAGUCCUCGGGCCGACUUGUCGAGCCCGGUGCCAAGCGGCAUGACAAAGAGUAACAUACUUGUAGGCAUAAUUUUUAUCAUACAGACAAAAGAGGGCAGUCCCCGAGCUUGUCUCGGGGGGCCCGAAGUCUUGGUACUUUAAUACAAAAGGUAGCGUGGUAUAUACUGCAUCAACUGUAAAAUCUUCGGAGAAGAUUUGCAUUCCAUGGCCGCUCUGUCUCCUUGCCGGAGUCGUCCCUCUUGCGUGCUCGGGGCUUCUAAGCGUCGAUCAGGUAGUAGGAGUCGUUGCCUAGUACUUUGCUGGUGAUGAAAGGGCCUUCCCAAGGCGGCGACAGCUUGUGCUGGCCGGCUGUUUGCUGGAUCAGCCGGAGCACAAGGUCGCCUUCUUGGAAAGAUCUUGGCCUGACCUUCCUGUUGUGGUAUCGGCGCCGGCUCUGCUGGUAGAUGCUGGACUGGCUGAGUGCCAACAGCCGGCCCUCUUCCAGUAGAUCGAUGCCGUCUUGUUGUGCUUCUUCUGCUUCCUCCUUGGUGUACAUGGUGACUCGUGGGGAGUCAAACUAUAUGUCCGUUGGGAUGACGGCUUCGGCACCGUAGACGAGGAAGAAGGGCGUGAAGCCGGUUGACUUGUUUAGAGUCGUGCGCAGACUCCAGAGGACGGCUGGCAGCUCAUCGAGCCAGCAGCUAGCUGAGCGCUCCAGAGGCUCGAUCAACCGAGGCUUGAUACCGGACAGGAUGAGGCCGUUUGCUCGCUCCACUUGGCCGUUUGACUGCGGAUGGGCAACGGAUGAUCUCGGCUAGCGGGGCCGUGCAGACCACCGUGAUUGGAUGCUCUUGGAAGUAAGGCUUCAAUUUCUUGGCAGCAAAGUGCACGCCAUAGCACAUCUUCUGGUAGUGGGGGUAGUUCUGCUUGGAGGUCGACAGUACCUCGCUCAGGUAAUAUACUGGUCUCUAGACAGGUAGCGCCUUGCCUUCCUCCUUGCGCUCUACUACAAUGACUGUCCUAACUACUCGGCUGGUGGCGGCGAUGUACAGGAGCAUAGGUUCCUUGGGAGUCAGAGCCGCCAGGACGGGUGGAGUAGUCAGCAUCUUCUUCAAUUGGUGAAAAGCUUCAUCCGCCUUAUGGUUCCACUCGAAAAAAGUGGUCUUGUUCAUGAGUUGGUAUAAGGGGAGAGCUUUCUCGCCCAGCCGACUGAUGAAUCGGCUGAUGGACGCUAAGCAGCCGGUGAACUUCUGCACAUCCAGCAGUCGGCAUGGCACCUCCAUUCUCUCAAUGGCCUUGAUUUUUACUGGGUUGCAUUCUAUGCCGCGCUCAGAGACCAGGAAACCUAGCAGCUGGCUGACUGGUACUCUGAAGACACACUUCUCGGGGUUGAGCUUGAUCUGGAACCGGCGCAGGUUCUCAAAGGUCUCCUUGAGGUCUUCCAGCAAUGUUCCUUGCUUUUCCGUCUUCACCACCACGUCGUCCACGUAAACGUGGGCGUUCCUGCCGAGCUGCUUGAGGAGGCACUUCUGCAUGCAACGCUGAAAGGUGGCGCCGGCAUUCCUCAAGCCGAACGUCAUGGUGAGGUAGCAGAAUGCUCCAAACGGCGUGAUGAAGGCGGUCUUCAAUCUGUCAGCCGGGUUCAGCUUGAUCUGGUGGUAUCCUGAGUACGCAUCCAAGAAACUCAACAGCUCGCAUCCGGCUGUGGAGUCUAUCACCUGAUCAAUUCUCGACAGAGCAAACGGGUCCUUGGGGCAGGCCUUGUUGAGGCUCGUGUAGUCAAUACACAUUCGCCAUUGCUUGUUCUUCUUUAGCACCAGGACCGGGUUUGCCAGCCACUCCAGAAAGAAAACUUCCAUAAUGAAGCCGGCUGCUAGGAGUCGGGCUAUCUCCUCUCCGACAACUCUUCUCUUCUCUUCUGAUAAGCGGCACAGGGGCUGCCUGACCGGCUUUGCAUCAGAUCGGACGUGUAACUUGUGCUCGGCGAAAUCCAUCGGUACACCUGGCAUGUCCUUGGGAGACCAUGCGAAGAUGUCCCGAUUCUCAUGGAGGAAAUCGACGAGCUCGCCUUCCUAUUUGCUGUUGAGGUUUGCACCUACGACGGCGUACCUCUCUGGGUGCUCCGGAUCCAAGGGUAUCUUCUUUGUCUCUUUGGACGGCUUGAACGAGCCUUCGGCUUCCGUCUCCUUCGGGUCGGGCGAUAUCUCCGGCUGCUUUCCGGCCAUCGCAACAACUCGCUCAAGGAGUCGCUUCUCGGCUGCAAUCACCAGGGACUCGGCCAGCCGACUGCUUUCGGCCGCGCAAGCGGACGACUUCCGGUAGUCGCCGGCCACAGUCAGAAUUCCCCUAGAUCUGGGCAUCUUCAUCUUGAGGUAGGCGUAGUGGGGGACCGCCAUGAACUUGGCCAAGGCGGGCCGGCUAAGUAGCGCAUGGUAUGGGCUCUCAAGGUCCACUACCUCAAACCAAAUAGACUCUCUUCCGAAGUGAUCUUUGUCCCCAAAGAGGACGUCAAUCAGGAUCUUGCGGAUUGGUGAGCAGGAAAGCCCAAGAACAAUGCCGUGGAACACAGUCCGGCUGUUCUAAAGCUGUCUUUGCUUGAUUCCUAACUUCUCCAUGGUGUCCUUGUACAAGAUGUUGAUGCUGCUGCCCCCAUCUAUCAGAACUCGCGAGAAACGCGCGGCCUAUUUGUCCGUGGCAAAGGUGGCGUCUAGGACCAAGGCGUAGGAACCCAGACUCGGCAUCACUUCUAGGUGGUCAGCCCUGCUCCAGCUGAUGGGCCUCUCAGACCAGUGCAUGAACUCUGGCAUCUCCGAGGCUACUGCGUUCACCUCUUGUCGCUGCAGCCGCCUGCUGCGUCGAUCAUCAGACACACUGGUGAACACCACGUAAGCUCCGUGCUCUUCGGGGUAUUCGUCUUGUACUGCGCCGACUGGCCUGACUGUCGGCUGCUGGGGCGGAGGCGGAGGCGGUUGCCCAGCAGGCGGGGGUGGCAGGAGGCCAUCUCCCUUGGCGAUCCUGGUGAACCAGUGGCACUUCCGGGUGGUGUGAUUCGAUGGCUUCGCGCUGCUGUGGAACUUGCAAGGUCCAUCCAAGGUCUACUUGUAGGAGAAGGCCGACAACCUGUUCGGCUUGCCGCCUUUCUGUCGCUUGGGCGGAGGCUGCUCUUCUGGCUGCUGGGCUUCGACGGUCGCAACCUGCCGGCUGCUGGAAGCCGGCUGCGGGGCCUUGCGCUUGUGGUCGCCUUGCUGUUGUUGCUGGCCAGCGUCUGCUGCCGGAGUUCUUGGAGCCGGAGGAGCUACUUUGCCAGUCGUGCUGAUUUGAAUUUCCGUCUUCAUGGAGGAGUCGGCCGUAGCGUACUUGUCCGCUAUGAUCAGCAGCUCGUCGAGGGUUUCUGGCUCGUCGCAGAGGAGCUUGUGCUUGAGGAGGGUGCCUUCUCGGCACCCGGCUGUGAAGUACUCGAUGGCCUGCACCUCGUGCACACCCUCGCAGGAGUUCCGAAGCUCAGCCCAAUGCGUGAGGUAGUCGCGAGUCGACUCGUCAGGACCUUGCACACACAAGGAGAGCUGACGAGGCUUAGGAGGACGCUUGUACGUGCUGGUGAAGUUGCGGACGAAUGCUUCGGUGAAGUCGACCCAGCUGUUGAUGUUGCGGGGCUUCAGGCUGUUCAACCAUGUCCGGGCCGUGCCCUGGAGCAUGAGCGGAACGUACUUUACGGCGACGCGCUUGUUGCCGUUUGCUAUGCUGACAGCCGUGGAGUAGUCGACUAGCCAGUCUUCCGGCUUCACGGAGCCGGUAUACUUGGGCGUGUCUCUUGGGAGCGUGAACCCUCUGGGAAAGGGCUCGUCCCAAAUGCGGGGCCCGAAACAAGGCGGACCCGGCUUGUCUUCUUCUUCCAGCGCCAGGGACCGGUGGAGUCGGUCGAUCCGGUGGCGGGCGUCAUUCUCUCCAACUCCCUCUCGGCGGCCAAGGCGGUCACCGAGAGUCAGAUGAUCAACGGGCGGCGGGGAGACUCGCCUCUCCUUGCAGGGUGGGGGAGGCGAACAGUCGUCCCGUCGUUCCACUGCUCUUGGGCGGCCGUCUCGGUCGCGCUCUAUGGUAAUUCGAGUUCGACUAUGGCUGGCAGCCGGUUCCUUGUCCUUCCUUCCUCGGGCACCGCCAAUCGGCGUCCGAGACGUCGCGCCUUGAUCUCGGUGCGGGUCGUCGUUUGGCCGCUGCAGCGCCUCCGUGCGGCAGCCGGCCUCGUUCUGCGUGGCGGCCGCGUCGAGGAGCCGCGGGACUCGCUCCAUCAUGAGGCGGCGCUCUUCGCCCUCGAAAUGGUCCAGCUCGUCCGCCGCUGCCUGAGCAGCUCGGAUGUUCUCCGCCGGGGUGGCGUACACGGGGCGGCUAGCCCCAAACAGGCUGGCGAUGGCUACACCGCGCUGCUGGACCGCGCCAAGGCGGCUGGGCCCUACCGGGGCCGGCGAGCCGCUAAUAGCGCGGUCCAUCUCCUGCUGGUAAGCUUCUGACAAGCGUCUCAUGCUGGCUAGCUUCUUCGCGCCUUCAACAAGCUGAAGGCGGCGCGCUUCUAACGUCUCUGCGUCAGCAUCUUCCGGAAUGGGCGCCGCUAGGUUUUGCAGCGCCGCGCCGAGUGAGUAGGGCGCCCUUCCACCAGGGAACUCGUCAUGGCUGAUGACCAGUACCUCAGUGACAGUGCUCCUAUCACUCUCCGCGUGGGGGAGAGGUUCGUCAUAGACCACCACGUUGGUGGGGAACGCGUUGACUGACGCGGUGUCGGAGUCGACCAGCAUCGGGUAGGUGGAGCCUACGGACUCCAAGUCUACGGCGGGCUUGCCGGAAAUGUGGAGUUGAUCAAGGAGGCCCGCGAGGAGGUUCUCGGGGCCGCCCGCACCUGCGUCGGACGCAGGUUCGUCGGAGAGGCGGACCUCGCCGACAAGUUCGGCCAAGGAGCUAGCUGCGUGGGCGAUCUCAACGCCGCGCAGCGCGUCGAUGCAAACUUCAUCUGGCGUGCCUGGCUGGCUCCGCUCGCCAGGGAGGAAGAGGGUUCCCGUCCAGAACAUAUCUCCGGACGGCGGUGCACCUCGCCCCACGGUGGGCGCCAAAUAUCGUGGGUUUGGUGCGACAUAUGCCAACGGAUGGCUUAUCAUGGUGGGGGCGAGUAGAACGUCGCCGGUGCCUGGAAACGGGAUGAGGCGAAGACAUGCACGCCGGCGAAUCUUACCCAGCUUCAGGGCUCUCCGGGGAGAUAACACCCCUACUGCUGCUCUGCAGGGUCUCCGCAUGAUCACUAAGGCCAAGUGUUUACAAGGUUGCUCCUUGAGCUGUUUCGAGUGGUAGGAGAGGGCAAGGCUAGCUCUCUCCCUCUAUCUAGCGUGGUAUAGAACUAUCGGGAUCCAACCCUUUGCAUGGGUGUCCUGGUGGGUUUAUAUAGGCCUACCCCCCAGGGUACAAUGGUAAUGUGACUGGGAGCGGGCCCAGCCGUCAGUGUCUCCAACCUCCGACUUCUCCGCCGACUGCUGGGGCCCGCCGACUGGUCUGGUACGGAGCCGACAGGCCGCGUCCACCGCGAGCGGGUCUUGCCGGCUGCUAAUCACUGUAGCCGUGCUCCUGAUGAUGCAGGCUUGGUCAUGGGGUCGUGGCAACAGCCCCGCCGCCUGGCGGGCGAUCACUGUGGCCACUCCCCAUCUCUUCUUGAUUAAUGACGCGCGGGCCCCGGGGAAGGGCUCGGCCGACUCUCCCGGGCCGACUCCGACGGGUCCGACUGGCGGUUCUCCCGCCGUCUCCCGAGGUCUCGCUGGCUUGUGGGCCCCGCUGCCUCCAGGCCGUACAGACAAGCCGUCGUGGGCGCAGGACCAGGUACAGUGGUGCUGAUGUCAGGGCCGGCUGGGCAACAGUGCCACGCCGCAGGGAGAUCUUCCCUAGUACGGCGCGCUGUAGCCAUGCCUGCCCUUGGUAAGGGGCGGGGAGUGGGCUUCAUGGUAGUCGUGCCCCUGCCCCGUCCCCCUCGAUGAGGUCACGGUUUGUUGGAGUCGCCGGCCGACUCCCCAAAGCCGGCUUCUCUGGAAGUCGCCCCUGGGACUCGGCCGUGUGCGGGCAGUUGGCCACCUUGCCGCAGACCCCCCAGGAGGCGGCUCUUCGCCCUGUGGUCUUGAGGGGCGCAGCCUGCCCUGAUGUCUUGAAAGGUUACGGGGCUCGGGUUGGCCUACCCGUGGCCCAUUACUCCGACAAUGGGUUUUUCUGCAAAUUGGUAGACAAGUGGGAUGUUGGUGAGAAAAGGCAACAACUUACCUCACAAUCGUUAGAUGUAGAUCUAAUGGUAAGAAACGAUGGAAGGCAAACACACCAGCAUUACCAACUUAGUCUUGUGUAGGAGUACUAGCAAGAUCCGUGCAUUGCACGGAACAUCAAGAUGCAUUUUUUUAUGAAACACUUGUUGUGAUUGACCCUUGCGGGAGUAAUCCCAUGUGUAAAAACUAAUGAUAUCUCGAGAAAUAUGAGAUUAGGUGAAGAGGAGUGGGGUGUGGUGGUGGUUGGUGGUCGGACUGAGCGGAGGCAUGGGGAUUGACGACGCCAGCAGCGGCCACCAGGCCAGUUUGUUCCAGAGGCUUCCUUUAUUAAUUGCUCAACAGUGAGGUUUGUUGGAGAUAAGGAUGAACGAGGGAAGGCCUUGUCUGCAAAUGUGGAGAGGGGUGCGGGUAUCUUUUAGUUUAAUUUCCAUCCGUCAAAUAUAGAUCGGACGGUCUAUAUUGCAAGACGGCACACGUACCAUCAUCACCAACUCGGUAUUUUAUAAGAGAAGAAAUAUAAGUAUGGAGAUACAAACGUAUUAUCGAUACUUGCUUCCAUAAACUAGCAUCUACAUUCUAUUCAACGCCUCGACAUGUGGGGCCUUAGCACAAUGACUUCUCGACUGUGUAAAACGAAGAUUUUCCCGUCGCCGACAAGGAGAGGGUGACGGCGGCGCGCUUUUUGGCUUGCUCUAGUCCUAGUAGUCAUACUAGGUGGUCUAAGCACGUGUAGAUUUAUUCUUUUUCAUGUCUCGUGUUCGCCAUACUACCACGACUGUUCAUGAAUAGACGGUAAGUUUAUUCACGGGGAAACCCUUGUUGAGCGUGUUUGCGAGAGAGAGAGAGAGAGUGAGAGAGUGCGUGUGUGAUAUGUUAGAGACUGAGGCAAUGAUAACAUAUUCUUUGUGUCUAUGUGUGUGGAGGAUAGAGAGAGACAUGUACAUGGGGAUUUGUGUUGUGUAACGUGGAGACACAUAUACAUAAUUAGAGAGUGAGUGUGUGAGAUACACAUGCGGACAUGAGGAGAGAUGAGGAUCCAGGUAAAUGGGUGUUUGUGCGUGUCUAUGUGUGUUUGUGCACGCGUUUGUGUGUGAGAAGCAGAGAGUGUAUGUGGAGUAGAGAGGCCACUGAUGAUGUAAACCUAGUAUAAGGGAAGGGGGGAUGGUGUGACAUGUGUAGUAGCGAGAUAGCACGGGUGCGGGCGGGGGGAGUAGACUAUUUGGAAGAGACAUCGAGUGUGUGUGUGGGAGAGGGGUGUGAGAGCGAGAGAAAGAAAGAGCUAGCGACGGAGAGAGAGAGUGAGAGAAAGAGAGGGGGCGAGAGGGGUCGUUUGUGUCCAUAAAUGGCGUAUAGAUAGGGAGACAAUGUUGAUGUUGUACGAAAUUGGCCUAUGAACGGAGACACAAGGGAAGCAAGUCAUCGUGUGUGUGAUAGGGACUUCAUGAGAGAUCUAGAAUAGAUGGUGUAUAUAAGAAUGUGCGAAAUCGAGAAUGAUUAUACAUUAGGGAGCUAUACAAAGAGUCAUGACAUAUAUGUAUACGGUGAAAGAGCUGGGGCGGGUCCGCAUGUGGGAGAGAUAGAAAGAGGAGAGUGGUGCACAAGGAGACAAAGUGUGCUUGUUUGCAGUGGGGUGGUGUGUGAGGUGAGUGCGCGAGAACCACAUAACUAGGGAGAUAGACGUUUGGGGGUGACAUUUUGUGUGUAUGGGAAAUAUACACUCUACAUAGUGCGUGUGCUUGGGUAAGGGAGAUAGCGGGAGACCUAGAGAGUGAGGGAAGAGAUGUGUGCAUGCCCGAGAGACAAAGUGAUAGAGACCUAUAUUGGGGUCUGGACUUUACAAGAGAGAGGGGUGUUAAUGUGCUCGUGUGUUGGUGUUUGGGGGAGAGAACGACUUCUCUCUCUCUCUGUGUGUGUGUGUGUGGUGGUGGGGGGGUUGACUUCAGAUAAAGAGUGAGGUGUCUAUAUUUGAGGAACUUUAGCGUAAUUGAGAUAUUGUGCACCCAUGGUUGGUCAAUUUGUUUCACAGUUUGUACUAUGAGAUAACGAUACUUUUGAACAUGCAUGAUAUACCUUGAUGUACCAGAAUUACAAACCUAAGAUUGGAAUUUUGGAAUUUGACUCCAUCAUUAGCUUUUGUAAUUCAUUUAAACAGAGGUACAUUUUUUAAGCCGGGAUUUCGUGAUUUCAAAUUCAUAUACCAAACCUAGAGAUAUACACAUACAGGCAUGUUCAAACUUUAUAAUCAUCCACUUUAUUCAUACACAUACACAUUUUUACUUUUGUCAUCAUAUUUAGGAUAAACACAUUUGGAAUUUCAUUUGAAUUGGACCGUACGAUGGUAUUUGCUUGUAGUAGCUCAAUGAUCCAUAUUUGAAUUGAAUGGACAAUCUAAGUUUUGAGUUGGAGACAUUAAUUUUCAAAAUUGCACAUUUUUUUGCGUGCAAAACAAACAAAUUGUCGGCCAUGAUAUCAUAGUCGGCCGUACGAGAGCAGAAUACUUAUAAUUUUAGGCGCCAAAAGCUUUCAAACUUCCCGCUCAAAUCGAAAUAUCACGCGCCCGAAAGUUUAGCCCUGCGAUAUUCCUCUUUUACCCCUGCCACAUGAACGGGAAAGGGCUGCUUUGGUAACUCGAUUGUUUUCCCCUCUUUGCCCCCAACAUUCUUCCCCAGAGCCCCUCCCCAACCCCCCUAAUCACGGCAAGCCGCCGAAUCUAGUCCUCCGCCGCAGCGGUGGACCUCUGUAACACCCCGGAUAUGACUUUCCCAAUAUGUACUCCAACUCUUGCCGUUUCCGGCCUUAAGUUAUUUUAUUUUCUCGGCUUCGGGUCUUUGUCUUCGUGUGUUGUUAUCGUUGUCAUGCAUCUCAUAUCAUGUCAUCAUGUGCAUUGCAUUUGCAUACGUGUUCAUCUCAUGCAUUCGAGCAUUUUCCCUGUUGUCCAUUUUGCAUUCCGGCGCUUCGUUCUCCUUCGGUGGUCAUUUCUACCUUUCUUUCGUGUGGGGAUUAAACAUUUCCGGAUUGGACCGAGACUUGCCAAGCGGACUUGGUUUACUACCGGUAGACCGCCUGUCAAGUUUCGUACCAUUUGGACAUCGUUUGAUACUCCAACGGUUAACCGAGGGACCGAUAAGGCCUCGUGUGUGUUGCAGCCCAACACCCCUCCAAUUUGGCCCAAAACCCACCAAAACCCUCUCCAUCAUCUAGAGCGUUCGAUCACGAUCGCGUGGCCGAAAACUGCACCUCAUUUGGACUCUCCUAGCUCCCUCUACCUAUAAAUAUGUGCUCCCCUCCCGAAAUUCGCGGAUGAACCCUAACCAUCUUCCUCCUCGCGCCGCCGGACAACGUGCGCGCCGAGUCGGACAUGUCCGGCUAGCCGCCGCCGCCACAUGUCACGCCCCCGUUGGCCCGGCCGCAACCCCCGCCGAAGCCCGGGGCGGGCCCUCGUCGCUGCCUCCCNNNNNNNNNNNNNNNNNNNNNNNNNNNNNNNNNNNNNNNNNNNNNNNNNNNNNNNNNNNNNNNNNNNNNNNNNNNNNNNNNNNNNNNNNNNNNNNNNNNNNNNNNNNNNNNNNNNNNNNNNNNNNNNNNNNNNNNNNNNNNNNNNNNNNNNNNNNNNNNNNNNNNNNNNNNNNNNNNNNNNNNNNNNNNNNNNNNNNNNNNNNNNNNNNNNNNNNNNNNNNNNNNNNNNNNNNNNNNNNNNNNNNNNNNNNNNNNNNNNNNNNNNNNNNNNNNNNNNNNNNNNNNNNNNNNNNNNNNNNNNNNNNNNNNNNNNNNNNNNNNNNNNNNNNNNNNNNNNNNNNNNNNNNNNNNNNNNNNNNNNNNNNNNNNNNNNNNNNNNNNNNNNNNNNNNNNNNNNNNNNNNNNNNNNNNNNNNNNNNNNNNNNNNNNNNNNNNNNNNNNNNNNNNNNNNNNNNNNNNNNNNNNNNNNNNNNNNNNNNNNNNNNNNNNNNNNNNNNNNNCCACCGCCCAACCUCGCCGCGGUCACUGCCCCUCGCCGGCCCGCUGCUCCUCCGGCCCCGCCGCGCUCGGAUCCGGCGGGAUCCGGCCGGAUCCGCCUCCUCCGACCUCCCCGGCGCCGCCUCGCGCCCUCCUCCGGUGAAGCUCCGGCGAGUGCCUCGGUUUCCAUGCGAAACCCUAGAUCUGUUUUCAAAGGGUAUAUUUUCCCUAAGUCCCCGAAAUUCUCAGAUCCAUAUGCUCAUGUUCAUCGUGCCGUAACUUUGCAACCGUAGCUCCGGUUUGUGCAUAUAGCAUAUCAGAAUGUUCGUCUCAAAGAGUACUUCAUUUCAUUCCAUUGGAUCAUUUUCAUUUGAGUUUAUCUUGAUGCCCGAAAUGCUGUUAGAAGAGGGCUACUUGAGAUAAUUGUCAGAUCUGCUGCUCCAUUUAGCUAUUUGUCAUUUUUGCCAUGAUUAUUGUGUACAUGAUAUGCCCAUGAGCUCUACAUAUGUUUUGUUAAGGGUUUUGCCAUCUUUCCAGAGGUGCAACCCAUGUAUUUUUGUGAUGUGUGUGGUGACUAGCACAAGCUUGCAAAGUGAGGCACUUGGUAAUUCUGAUUUCAGGGACUUAGCAUUUCCACUAAGUCCUUGAGCUGUUUAUCUCAUAUGGCCAUAUGUUCAUGUUGUUUCCUAGUGAUCCGUGCCUCUUUUGAGGAUGAUAAGUAAGGAUGUUUUGUUAAUAAUGUAGUGCUCUAUCCAUCCAUUUCUUUGUUUGCAAUUAUGGAGCACCCUAGCUUGAGUCAAUCGAGCUCUAAUUUUGCUACUUCGUGAAUCUGGGCUGAUUGUCUACUUGUUAGCGAUUUUGCCGGGGAUGUUGUAGUUGAUCCGUGCAUGCUAUGCUAUUGUUCUUGCCAUGUCUAUCUUGCAUUUUGUGUAUUCUUGAUGGGUGUAUGAUUAGCUUGUCAUGACUUGCUCCGUAGUGAGUGCAUCGAGCUCGUAAACAUGCCUACUUGAUACCUGUUUCAGCAUGCUCCAGUUUUCACUAAGUCUGUGAUCUGAUUAUAUUUUUGCCAUGUUCACAUGCUUGCAAUUGUAUUUUCUGAUCCCUUUUGGCUCAAGGUCACUAAGGGACUUUUGUUAAGCUCUUUGAGUAGCUCCAUUCCAUGCUUUACUUUGCCAUGUUCAGGUCCUGUAGCAUGUAGUUUUGUUGCUCCGAAGAGUGCUAUCUGAUCUGAAAUUCCAGACAAGUGCUAAUUUCACCAAGUCUGAGAUCUGUUUGCCAUAUGCAUUUUUGCCAUGCUUGUUUGAACCUGUUAAUGGAUGAAUUGGCCGUAGCUCACUGCUAGACUUUUGUUAAGCAUCCUGAAUGCAUACCUGCCAUGUAUUUUUAUGCCAUGUUUGGGUGCUGUAGCAUGUUCAUCUCAUUGCAUUUAGAUGGCUACUUGCUGUAAAUCGCAGAACGUGGUCAUAUUUGAAUCGCUUGCCAUUUCCAAACCGUAACUCCGAUUCCAGCGUUCUUUAUAUCGUUUUCAAGCGAUUUCAUCUCAUAUUUCCAGUGGCACACUUGGAUUUCCAAGUUGAGGCCAGGUUCAUGCAUUCUCCUUGUCAAAUCUUGCAUAUUCAUCCCGCAUCGCAUCCCGCAUAGCAUAUCAUCUUUGCAUCAUAUCGUUUGAGUUUUGCACGUGGUUGAUUGUGCCCUUGUUGCUUGUUUGUCUUGUUUGGGUAGAGCCGGGAGACGAGUUCGCUAACGAGGAGCCCGUUGAGUUUGCUUUCAAGGAUCCAGUCAACUCUGACAACUUUGCAGGCAAGAUGAUCAUACCCUCGGAAUCACUACUAUCUUUGCUUUGCUAGAUGCUCACUCUUUUGCUAUGCCAAUGCUACGAUGCCUACCACUUGCUUUCAAGCCUCCCAAAUUGCCUUGUCAAACCUCUAACCCACCAUGUCCUAGCAAACCGUUGAUUGGCUAUGUUACCGCUUUGCUCAGCCCCUCUUACAGCGUUGCUAGUUGCAGGUGAAGUUUGGAGACCGUUCCUUGUUGGAACAUUAUUUACUUGUUGGGAUAUCAUUAUAUUAUCUUGUUAUCUUAAUGCAUCUAUAUACUUGGUAAAGGGUGGAAGGCUCGGCCUCUCUCCUAGUGUUUUGUUCCACUCUUGCCGCCCUAGUUUCCGUCAUAUCGGUGUUAUGUUCCCGGAUUUUGCGUUCCCUACGCGGUUGGGUUAUAAUGGGAACCCCUUGAUAGUUCGCCUUGAUUAAAGCUUUUCCAGCAAUGCCCAACCUUGGUUUUACCUUUUGUGACCUAGCCUCUUUUUCCCUUGGGUUUCCGGAGUCCGAGGGUCAUCUUAUUUUAGCCACCCCUGGGCCAGUGCUCCUUUGAGUGUUGGCCCAAACUAGAGUCCUGUGCAGUGCCCCCUCGGGGAAACUCAAGGUUUGGUUUUAGUUGUAUGGAGAGCUCAUCUGAGUGUGCCCUGAGAACGAGAUAUGUGCAGCUCCUAUCGGGAUUUGUCGGCACAUUCAGCCGGUGUUGCUUGUCUUGUUUUAACCUGUCGAAGUGUCUUGAAGAACCGAGAUACAGAGUCUGAUCGGAACGUCUCGGGAGGAGGUCUAUUCCUUCGUUGACCAUGAGAGCUUGUCAUGGGCUAAGUUGGGACUCCCCUGCAGGGAUUUGAACUUUCGAAAGCCGUGCCCGCGGUUACGGGCAGAUGGGAAUUUGUUAAUGUCCGGUUGUAGAUAACUUGAACCUUAAUUUAAUUAAAAUGAAUCAACCAUGUGAGUUACCGUGAUCGCCUCUUCUCGGCGGAGUCCGGGAAGUGGACACGGUGUUGGAGUAAUGUUUGUGCAGGUUGUCCUCUAGUUUCUCGCUCGCGCUUUGCCUUUCUCUUCUCGCUCUCUUUUGCGAACAGGAUAGCCACCAUAUAUGCUAGUCGCUUGCUGCAGCUCCACAUAUAUUGUUACCUUGCCAUACCUAUUAAGCUUAAAUAGCCUUGAUCCUGAGGGUGCGAGAUUGCUGAGUCCCUGUGGCUCACAGAUUACUAUUACACCAGAUGCAGGGCCUGAUGAUUUCGCUCCAGGUGACGCGCUCGAGCUCAAGUGGGAGUUCGACGAGGACUCUCAACGAUACUAUGUGUCUUUCCCUGAUGAUCAGUAGUGGUGCCCAGUUGGGGGUGAUCGGGACCGUGUCGCAUGUUGGGUUAUCUUUUAUUUUGGCGCCGUAGUCGGGCCAUGAGUGUUUGGAUGAUUUAAUGUUAUUUAUGUACUUGAUUGACGUGGCGAGUGUAAGCCAACUAUGUUAUCUCCCCUUUUACCUUAUAUAUAUUACAUGGGAUGUUGUGAUGAUUGCCUAACUUGCGACAUAUGCCUUCAAUGCGAUUAUGUCUCUAAGUCGUGCCUCGACACGUGGGAGCUAUAGUCGCAUCGAGGGAGUUACAAGUUGGUAAUCAGAGCCUUCCUCGACCUUAGGAGCCCCAUUGCUUGAUCGUUAUUAGUGGCCGAGUUGUGUCUAGAAAAAUGUUUUGAGUCAUUUAGGAAUUAUAUAUCAGAGAGUUUAGGAAUUCUUUUUUACUUCCCAGUCUCCUCAUCGCUCUGGUAAGGCAUCCUGACGUAGAGUUUUGACUCUUCUCUUCUCAAAUUUCACUAAAUUUUUUUUAGGAUCACGCGGGUAUCUUGGAAUCGUUCCGAUGGUUUUAUGACGAGAACAUUGUCUUGGUGCCUCCUGUCAGGGGUUUUGUGGAAGUGUCCCAGGGAGUUGAGCUCUAAGGUGUUGUCGUCAUAAUUUUAUCGUUGCAGAUCUGGAAUACCUGAGUUUAGUACGCCGACAUCGAAAAUCUCUUUUAUGCAGUUCGAUGGUGAGAUAACCUCGACGCCACCUAGUACUGGGGCGGGAGUUCGGGAGUAUCGCCAUAACUUGUAUAACGAAUGCUUUUCGAAGGUUGAGGUAGAUGGUUUCCGAAGUUUUCUCGGUUAUGUGUUGAAGGAUGGAUACAACUGGAUGUAGGAUUUGCUAGAUUUGGGUGAGAUAUUAUGCUUCUCCUGUAUCCCCAACACCUGAUUGCAUAACCGGAAAGGUUUGGGAGUUUCAUAGGUGGGAAUUCUCGUAGCUCUAGUUCUUCUUCCACGGAUAUUUGGUUUGAGAUUGGGAUUUAUUACCGAGUAUUCGUUCUUGAUCCGUACCUUGUUGAUUUAUUUCUCUACCUAAAUUCUAAGUGGCUUCUCAAUUUAUGGAUAUGUGACCAUUUCAAGAGGAAUGCAUUCGUUCAUUUUGUUCGGAUGUGAAGACUAUAUGUUGCAAUUUUCAUUCCGUUGGAUUCAGCUUCAUUUAUCUGUCUAUGUGCUAACGGUGGUCAACCUCUUCAGGAUGGCUCCCGCUAAGAGCACCAAUCAGAAUCAGAAUCAAGAUCCGCCACCACCUCCACCUCCUCUGGAGGCAUGGCAAGCUGUGAUGGCCGCAACCAAUGCAAACACACAGUUGAUCAUGCAAAUUCUCCAAGAGCGCAAUCAAGGCAACCAAGGGAACCAAGGCAACAAUCAGAAUCACUUUGCUACACUCAACUAGUUCCUUGCUAACGGGCCAAAGACUUUCAGCAAUUGUGUUGAGGCAACUGAUGCUGACGAUUGGCUCGUGGAUCUGUGCAAGCAUUUUGAGUGCAGUAACGUCAGGCCUGAGGACUUUGUCAAGUUCGCUUCCUUCCAACUCAAAGAUCAAGCUGCAGAAUGGUUCCAGCAGUACAAGGAUUCCAGAGGUGGACGUGUGAUCACUUGGGAUGAAUUCCGUCAAGAUUUCAGAGCUCACCAUAUCCCUCAGAGCGUGGUUGAAAGCAAGCGUGAGGAAUUCCGCAACCUGAAGCAAGGCUCUUUGUCUGUCUAUGACUACAACAAGUUGUUCCAGAAGCUCGCCCGCUUUGCCAAGUAGGACAUACCCGAUGAGAAGAGCAUGAUAUACCAGUUCAGGGGUGGUCUCAGAGAAGAAAUUCAGCUAGCUCUUGUUCUCUUUGAGCCCUUGAGGUACGAUGAGUUCUACAACAUGGCAUUGAAGCAAGAGGCCGCUCAACUGAGGUGUGAUGCUUCCAAGAAGCGAGUCAGAGACACUACUCCUUCUUCCUCUACUCAAGUGGCCAAGCAGCAGAAGUAUUGGCUUCCUCCUCCUCCAUUCCGUCAGCCGUAUCAGCAGAAGAGCAAAGGUGGCAGUGGAUCUUCCCGCCCACCCAACCCUGGCUUUCAGAACAAGACUUCGUCUCAAGAUCCAAGAUCGAGUGCUCCGUACCACCGUCCGCUUUCAGAGGUCACGUGCAACAAGUGCCAACAGAAGGGUCACUAUGCCAACAAGUGUCUCAACCAGAGGCGUCUUCCUCCUCCUCCUCCUGUGAGAUCGGCAAGUACAGCUGUGGUCAAGCAUAACCCCAAGCAUGCCAAGGUCAACUUGAUGAACGCAGCUCAGGCAGAGGACUCAUCAGAUGUCAUCAUGGGUAACCUUCCUGUUAACAAUAUCCCUGCAAAAGUUCUUUUUGACACUGGUGCAUCGCAUUGUUUCAUUUCCAAACCUUUUGCAUCGAAGUAUGAGUGCGAUUAUCAGUAUCUGCAAAAUUCCUUGCAAAUCGUGUCACUGGGCAAGCAAAUGACAGCUAAUUUCUGCGUCCCAGAUAUUACUAUCACGUUGGGUGACUACAAAUUUCUAGGUUCUCCUAUUGUUCUGGGUGAUUCGGAUAUUGAUCUUAUUCUCGGAAUGGAUUGGCUUUCUAAGCACAAGGCACAUCUUGACUGUGCAGCCAGGCAGAUUCAAUUGACUCAUUCGUCUGAGGAUGUAAUUGUCUUUGCCGCUCAUGAUUAUACCAUCCGUCUGUUUUCUAUCAAUGAGAAGGGUGAACUCGAUGCCAUCUCGCAAAUUCCAGUCGUUUGCGAAUAUCAAGACGUCUUUCCAGAAGAGCUUCCAGGAAUGCCUCCGCACCGGACAGUUGAAUUCGUCAUCAAUCUUGAGCCUGGCACGGAACCUGUGUGCAAGCGUCCUUACAAGCUCGGACCUGAAGAGUUGAAGGUGAUGAAGAAGCAACUCGAUAUUCAAGAGAGAAUGGGUCUCAUCUGGCCUAGUUCUUCUCCGUGGGGUUGUGGUGUUCUUUUUGUGAAGAAGAAGGAUGGAACGGACCAACUUUGUGUUGAUUACCGUCCAUUGAACAAGAAGACCAUCAAGAACAAAUACCCAGUUCCCAACAUCAACGAGCUGUUCGAACAACUCAAAGGUGCCCAAGUAUUCUCCACUUGAUCUCCGUAUGGGUUAUCAUCAGUUUCGAAUCCGUGAGCAAGAUAUUCCCAAGACGGCUUUCAGGACAAGCUAUGGUUCAUAUGAAUACACUGUCAUGUCUUUUGGCCUCGUCAACGCUCCUCCGAUGUUCUCUCGCAUGAUGAACUUCAUCUUCAACGCCUACACCAAUGACUUCGUUUUGGUCUAUCUUGACGACAUUCUGGUUUUCUCGAAGAACAAGGGAGAUCAUGCCAAUCACUUGCGUUUGGUACUCGAUAAGUUGAGGGAACACAAGUUCUAUGCCAAGUUCUCCAAGUGCGAAUUUUGGCUCGAUGAGGUUGUUUAUCUUGGUCAUAUCAUCUCUGCCAAGGGCAUUGCAGUAAAUCCUGAGAAGGUGUGUGCAAUUGUGAAUUGGGAACCUCCUCAGAACGUGAAGCAACUACGUAGCUUCCUCGGUCUCGCAAGCUACUACCGAAGAUUCGUUGAAAACUUUUCUAAGAUCGCGAAGCCUCUCUCAAAUCUUCUCCAGAAGCACGUCAAGUACGUUUGGUCUCCGGAGUGUGACAUUGCUUUCAACACUUUGAAAGAGAAAUUGAUCACUGCUCCAGUUCUGACUCCGCCUGAUGAAUCCAAACCGUACGAGGUCUUUUGCGAUGCCUCUCUCCAAGGUCUUGGCGCAGUAUUGAUGCAAGAGAAGAAAGUUGUUGCUUAUACCUCUCGCCAGUUGAAUCCCAAUGAGAAGAACUACCCCACUCAUGAUCUCGAGUUGGCGGCAGUUGUGCAUGCUCUUUUGACUUGGAGACAUCUCUUAUUGGGAAGAAAAGUGGACAUCUUCACUGACAACAAGAGUCUCAAGUAUAUCUUCACUCAGCCUAAUCUUAACCUCGGGCAAACUCGAUGGGUCAAAAUGAUUCAAGAGUAUAAUCCGAGUAUCGAGUAUACUCCAGGCAAGGCCAAUGUGAUUGCUGACGCAUUGAGCAGAAAAGCUUAUUGCAACAGUCUGAUUCUCAAGCCUUAUCAACCCGAGCUUUGUGAAGCUUUCCUCAAACUUAACCUGCAAGUUGUUCCUCAAGGUUUCCUCGCCAACCUUCAAGUCUCUCCUACGUUGGAAUACCAGAUUCGCCAAGCCCAACUUCUUGAUGCUAUGGUGAAAAAGGUGAAGAUUGGGAUUGCCAAGAGUCAACCCAAGUACAAGUGCUACCGCCUUGAUGACAAGGAUACUCUCUUCUUCGAGGAUCGUAUUGUUGUGCCCAAAGGUGACCUCCGUAAAGUGAUCAUGAACGAGGCUCACAAUUCUCUCCUCUCCAUCCACCCUGGGAGCACGAAGAUGUACCAGGACCUCAAGAACACUUAUUGGUGGACUUGAAUGAAGCGCGAGAUUGCUCAAUUCGUGAAUGAAUGUGAUGUCUGCAGAAGAGUGAAGGCAGAACACCAAAGGCCAGCUGGUCUCCUCCAACCUCUUGCCCAUUCCAGAAUGGAAGUUUGACCACAUUGAAAUGGACUUCGUGACUAGGUUUCCAAAGUCCAAACGUGGCAAUGAUGCUAUAUUCGUUGUCAUCAACAAACUCACCAAAGUGGCUCACUUUCUGCCUAUCAAAGAGUCAAUCACUGCAGCUCAAUUGGUGGAACUCUAUUCCUCUCGAAUUGUCUCUCUGCACGGUAUCCCACAAUGUUGGGGAACGUUGCAGAAAACAAAAAAAUUUCUAUGGUUUCACCAAGAUCCAUCUAUGAGUUCAUCUAGCAACGAGUGAUCGGAUUGCAUCUACAUACCUUUGUAGAUCACGCGCGGAAGUGUUCAAAGAAUGGGGAUGAGGAAGUCAUACUCGACGUGAUCCAAAUCACCGGAGAUCCUAGCGCCAAACGGACGGCACCUCCGCGUUCAACACACGUACGGUCAGCAUGACGUCUCCUCCUUCUUGAUCCAGCAAGGGGGAAGGAGAGGUUGAUGAAGAUCCAGCAGCACGACGGCGUGGUGGUGGAUGCAGGGGUCACCGCAGUAGGGCUUCGCCGUUCUACUACGAGAGGGAGAGGUGUUGCAGGGGAGAGGGAGGCGCCAAGACUCAAGGGUGCGGCUUCCCCCUCCCUUCCCGCCUUUAUAUAGGCCCCCUAGGGGGUGCGCCGGCCCUAGGAGAUGGGAUCUGCUAGGGGGGGCGGCGGCCAAGGGGUGGAGUGCCCCCCAAGCCAGGUGGGGCGCCCCCACCCUAGGGUUCCCAACCCUAGGCGCAUGGGGUGGGCCAAGGGGGGUGCACCAGCCCACUAUGGGCUGGUUCCCCUCCCCACUUUGGCCCAUGGGGCCCUCCGGGAUGGGUGGCCCCACCCGGUGGACCCCCGGGACCCUUCCGGUGGUCCCGGUACAAUACCGGUGACCCCCGAAACUCUCCCGAUGGCCGAAACUGCACUUCCUAUAUAUAAUUCUUUAGCUCUGGACCAUUCCGGAACUCCUCGUGACGUCCAGGAUCUCAUCCGGGACUCCGAACAACUUUCGGGUUAUUGCAUAUUCAUAUCUCUACAACCCUAGCGUCACCGAACCUUAAGUGUGUAGACCCUACGGGUUCGGGAGACAUGUAGACAUGACCGAGAUGGCUCUCCGGUCAAUAACCAACAGCGGGAUCUGGAUACCCAUGUUGGCUCCCACAUGCUCCUCGAUGAUCUCAUCGGAUGAACCACGAUGUCGAGGAUUCAAGCAACCCCGUAUACAAUUCCCUUUGUCAAUCGGUACGUUACUUGCCCGAGAUUCGAUCGUUGGUAUCCCAAUACCUCGUUCAAUCUCGUUACCGGCAAGUCACUUUACUCGUACCGUAAUGCAUGAUCCCGUGACCAGACACUUGGUCACUUUGAGCUCAUUGUGAUGAUGCAUUACCGAGUGGGCCCAGAGAUACCUCUCCGUCAUACGGAGUGACAAAUCCCAGUCUUGAUCCGUGUGAACCCAACAGACACUUUCGGAGAUACCCGCAGUAUACCUUUAUAGUCACCCAGUUACGUUGUGACGUUCGGUACACCCAAAGCACUCCUACGGUAUCCGGGAGUUACACGAUCUCAUGGUCUAAGGAAAAGAUACUUGACAUUGGAAAAACUCUAGCAAACGAACUAUACGAUCUUGUGCUAUGUUUAGGAUUGGGUCUUGUCCAUCACAUCAUUCUCCUAAUGAUGUGAUCCCGUUAUCAAUGACAUCCCCAUGUCCAUAGCCAGGAAACCAUGACUAUCUGUUGAUCAAGGAGCUAGUCAACUAGAGGCUCACUAGGGACACAUUGUGGUCUAUGUAUUCACACAUGUAUUACGAUUUCCGGAUAAUAAAAUUAUAGCAUGAAUAAUAGACAAUUAUCAUGAACAAGGAAAUAUAAUAAUAAUCCUUUUAUUAUUGCCUCUAGGGCAUAUUUCCAACUGUCUCCCACUUGCACUAGAGUCAAUAAUCUAGUUACAUUGUGAUGAGUAGAACACCCAUGGAAUUCUGGUGUUGAUCAUGUUUUGCUCUAGGGAGAGGUUUAGUCAACGGAUCUGCUACAUUCAGGUUCGUAUGUACUUUACAAAUCUCUAUGUCUCCAUUUUGAACACUUUCACGAAUGGGGUUGAAGCGACGCUUGAUAUGCCUGGUCUUCCUGUGAAACCUGGGCUCCUUGGCAAGGGCAAUAGCUCCAGUGUUGUCACAGAAGAGAGUCAUCGGGCCCGACGCAUUGGGUAUGACUCCUAGGUUGGUAAUGAACUCCUUCACCCAGACUGCUUCGUGUGCUGCCUCCGAGGCUGCCAUGUACUCCGCUUCACAUGUAGAUCCCGCCACAACGCUUUGCUUGCAACUGCACCAGCUUACUGCCCCACCAUUCAAAAUAUACACGUAUCCGGUUUGUGACUUAGAGUCAUCCAGAUCUGUGUCGAAGCUAGCAUCGAUGUAACCUUUUACGACGAGCUCUUCGUCACUUCCAUAAAUGAGAAACAUUUCCUAAGUCCUUUUCAGGUACUUCAGGAUAUUCUUGACCGCUGUCCAGUGUUCCUUGCCGGGAUUACUUUGGUACCUACCUACCAAACUUACGGCAAGGUUUACAUCAGGUCUGGUACACAUCAUGGCAUACAUAAUAGAACCUAUGGCUGAGGCAUAGGGGAUGACACUCAUCUCUUCUAUAUCUUCUACCGUGGUCGGACAUUGAGCUGAGCUCAAUUUCACACCUUGCAACACAUGCAAGAACCCCUUCUUAGACUGAUCCAU